rnacentral:lncRNA from 1 species
AUAAUUUAUAGUUCCCAGUGGGCAAUUACUGACCUCAGCUCAAUGCACCGUUAGGCCCCAAAAGAAAAGGGUAAGUCCAAAAAGCAACAAUAAUAAUAAAUAGAUUGCAUUUAUGAAAGCAUAAAUAAAAUGCUAAGCUACUAUGUCGCAAAUAAACAUGUUGUCAAUGUGUUCUACAUUUACUUUAUCAAAAUGAAGUAUGUCCAAGUAUGACUAAUAUGUCCCAACAUAACGAGCAAGUAUGUAUCAUGAUCCAAUAUAUCAAUAUAUGAUGAAUAUGCUCUAUCAUGGCAGCCAAGUAUACUAUGAUGCAACAAAUAAGACUAUCAUGUAUACUACAUGUCCCAACACUAUGCUAUAAGCAUGUCAAAGUAAUCAAACUACUAAGCCUAUCUAGUAGUGAUUGUCAUUUCCCGGUUCAAUGUCAUUGUUUAAUCAUGUUCUAGGACCUACAUAAAUGUAGUCCAGCUUGUGCCACCUAAGUGUCGGUGGUAGCUCCAACAUUCCCACUCUAGGAAUGAAUCUAUCCCUUCCGACCCCGUGGGUUUCUCGAUACCGCACGAGCGAACAUAAGUCGCGUAAGCCAACUCCGGAGUGCCGGCUUAUAGAGAGCGACCCUCACAAGCAUGUGCGAAUGAGCACAAAUGGCAAGCAAGCGUAGUCAACGUCUCAAAAGUCCAAUUAUCAUGUCUCUAACAUGGUACAAGUCACUAACAUCUCAAAGAUCUAGUUCAAUGUCUCAAGGUGAUGUUCCAACACUCACUAUGCUUAGUGCCUCUUUAUGACACUUAAGCUUGUUAUAAGUUAAACACAUUUCAUAUUUUAUAUUCCAUUCAUGACAUUAGUACUAGGUUCUCAUUUAACCUGAGCUCAAUACCCCUUUAUGACAUUAUCCCAAUCAUUCUCAAGUAGUACAAGUUCCCAAGCCUCUUAAGGCUUACUAAAGUCCCUUAUGUCUCAAUUAGGUAUAGAUUUAAAUGCAUGAAGCAAUGCUCAAUUUCAUUGUAAGAAACAUGGUCCCGAGUCCAACAUAAGAAUGCCCAAUGCUAGUGCAAGCUUCACAUGCAACUCUCUCUCUACUAUAUAGAGGUCCGAAAAUUCAUUAUACAUGACAUAGGGAUGUUAAGUAUUCUAAAUUCAUAAUAAAUACAUUUAAUAUAAAAAUGCAUGAAUUUUCACUUUACGAAACAUAAAUCAACAAAUAUGAGAAUUUCCCAUAUUGUAGGCUAGGUCAAACCCACGGAAACUUGCGCAACCCUUCGUAAGAUCCAACGAGGGUGCCCACUAGCCUCUUAGUACCCUAGGGUAUCGUUUGGUUAGAGGAUAAGGAAAAAGUGGCUAUUCCAGAAAUAGGUAUAAAUUGAGAUAUAAGCGGGGAUUAGAUCAAUUUUCCGUUUUAGAUGAAAAAUUGGGUUAUUCCUGGAAUAAAAAAAAUAGCGUUUGGGUAAGUGGAAUAAUGAAGAAGUGGUUUUAUAAUAAAAAAAUAAUCAUAUUAUCACUUUUAUUAAUAUUUGAAUUUAAAUUUUAAAUAUUAAAUAUAAAAAAACGUGUGGUUUUAUAAAAAAAAUCAAACUUUAAUUUUAAAAUUACAAAUUUAAAAUUAUAACUUUAAUUUUGAAAAUUAUAAAUUAUAAAUUUUAACAAUUAAAUUUUUAAUUUUAUAAAUAAGAGAAUCAGACUGGGAACAAUUAAUUAACAGAAUAAUUAUUAUAAUAAAUUUUAUAAUUUUUUUAAAUUCUACUUCAACUUAAAUUUAUAAAAAAACUUUAUUAUAAUAUUUAAAUAUAUAUUAAUAUAUUAACAUAUACAGAUAAUAAAUUUUAUAAUAAAUAAAUCUCAUUAUAUAUAUAUAAAUUUUAAAAAUUAACUUUAUUAAUUUUUAAAUUUUUUAAAAUAAGAAUAGGGGUGGGAACAAUUAAUAAAAACUAUUUAUUAUAAUAAAUUUAUAAAUUUUUUUAAAAUUCUACUUAAACUUAAAUUUAAUAAAAAGAAUUUAUUAUAAUAUUUAAAUAUAAUUUAUUAUAAAUUUUAUUAUAAUAUUUAAAUAUAAAUAAUAUGUAUUAAUAUAGUACAAUUAAUAAUUUUAUAAUAAAAAUAAUGUAUUAUAAUAUAUAACAUAUUAUAUUUAUAUAAUUUAGUUUUAAUUCAAUUUAUAAUUUUAAUUAAGUUUGAAAUUAAGCAUUGGAAUAGUGCUAUUCCACCAAAAUGGUGGAAUAGCAAAUCCCUUGCUAUUCCGGAAUAACCAGGAAUAGCAAGGUUUGACCGGGAUAAAAUAUCCCGGCCAAAUUUCACCCCGUUUGGCGGAAUAGCGGGGAUAACUUUCGUUAUCCCCGCUUAUCCCCCCAACCAAACGGGGCCUAGAGGUAUAGAAACAAAGGUUAAACGAACCUUACGAACAACUAUAAGAUCAAACAUUAACCAUCUAUACAAAAGGGCCAAAAUCUCACCUAUAGUGGAGAAAUCCCUUUCCAAAGCUCAAAAGGAAGCUAAAUCCCUUCCAAAGCAAUCUAAACCAAGGUUCUAAUCCAAUUAGAUUAGCUCUAAAAGCUUCUAAUCAAACGCCCCAAAAUCAACCCUAAAACCUCAUUCUAGGGUUUCAUCUCAAAGAAACCAUCAAAAUAAGAAUCUAGAUAAAAAAACUUGUUACCAACCUCUUGGAAACUUUAAUCCAAGCUCUAAGUCCUCAAACUUCAAAGAUCUUCCCUCAACCAAGCUUUAAAACCAAACCUCAAGCUUCAACUAUGGUGAAAAUGCACCAAGAGGGAAAAAGAGAGAGAUUAAUCCAUCAAAAUCCGAGAGAAAGGGAUAAAAUCACCAUUGAGGGAUAAGGAGAAGCUCCCUUACCUCAAUUCCCUUUGUUCCCAGCUCAGGAAAAUGCCCUAGGGGUAUGGGGACACAUAUAGAGAAGCCACUUUGCAAAAACACCCCUGCAAUUUCGUCCAUUCAGAUUCUGCCGUAGUGUACCGGUACACGGGCCCGCGUACCAGUACAGCCAUUAACCCUGUACCGGUACAGCCAUCAACCCUGUAACGGUACGCAGCCCCGAAAAUAGCAAUCCGAGAGCAGCCUAAAUCCUCCACUUUGGCGACCUUAGCGCUACUUAAAAUACUGUCAAUUCUCGAAAUACGAGCCAUAGGUCGGAACACUGUCAACGACCUACCAGAAAAAAUUUGGAAAAACUCAGAACACAGCUAAUCACUCGAACCUCGUAAUUUGCAAAGGUCCAGUGCGUUACAGAGAGGGUAUUGUCACGCCCGGGUAACUGCGGAAGCAUAUUCGGUACGUGAACAGACCCGCCAUACACCUGCAGUAUAUAAGGCGUCUACAAACAAGCAAGUCGAUAGGAAGAAGAUCAUAGAAAAUUCUAUGCUGAUAUCAGAGCAAAGCACAAGUCAACAAUACUAUCAACAAUGGAGUAAAGGAGUAUAGUCCAAAAAUCUCAACCAAAAGAUGAGUAUCACAACUAAAGUGACUGUCCAAAAGUACAUAUACAUCACGGGGUAUACAAAAGAAAUAGGUACAACGGUGGUCUCUCUAUACAUAGGGACAUCACCCUCGGCCGUAGCCCGAGUAGCAAGGUGAUCGACUAGCACGCUCCUAGUAGUCCCUAGCGAGGCGCGACUCCCUUGCCACGAUCCCUAGCCUCUCCUGUAGAUGGCUCUGUAAAAACAACCACCAAAAGGGCGUGAGAACUAUUAACAAUAGUUCCCAGUGGGUAAGCCGCCAGCCUCGGCGAAUUACACCACUAGGCUCAAGAUGUACUAAAUGAAAGCAAAAACAAUAAUUGCAUGAUUUAUAAGCAUGAUGCUAAUAAGUAAUAAGCAUGUAAUCAACAUGUAAUAGCUUUCUACAGUAAUGAACCAUUUGCAUAAAAGAGAUAUAACAACUUCUGUAAUCAUGAACAUAGACAUGAGUAUAAGCACGAACAUAAAAGUGACUACUGUACACUUUAAGUAAUAAACAUUCAUUACUGUUCUUUUUCAUUUAGUACUUUCCUUUCAUUCACAGGGACCUACCCAAGGUAGUCCAGCUUGCGCCGCGCCUAAUGGCCCCGUGGUAGUAUACACUCCCCACGGCAAUCCACUUCGGCACCCAAUCCCGCACGGGCGAGCAACUGUCGCGUAGGCCAACUCCGGAGUGCCGGCUUGUAGGGAGCGACCCUCACAAGCGUGUGCGAAUGAGCACGAUGGCAAGCAAGCAUAUUUCACUGUCCACAUGUCUCAAUUCUCAUGUUUUCAUUUGCAGUGUUCUCGCUCUCGAUCCUUUGAUCGACAUUUCAGUAUAACAAAUAUUAACAACAACUAGAAUCCACUAGUUUAGUAAGCAUGCAGGAGUAAUGCUAAUUUACAUAUGGCAUUAGAAUCUUUCACUAUCAUGGCACUAUCAACAUAGGCACAAGCAUGUCAUAGUUCUCUACUUCAGAGUCAAGAGAAUGUCAUUGUUCUCUACUUGUAAUCAAGCGAGUAAAAAGAGAAUGUCAUUGUUCUCUACGUUUCAUGAGCAUAAUAACGUGUCUCAUUAUUAUUCAAUUAAACCAAAUAGGAAUAUGAAUACAUUUAGGCGUGAGGAUUCUCUACUUCAUAGAGAUUCUAUGUCAAUAUAGUAAAUGUUAUGAUGACGAAUUCUCAAGCCCUUUAGCUAUCACAUAAGCACACAACUAACACAUUUCUAUAAUACAUAUAGAACAUAGAGGAGCUUCACUUGCUCUGGUUAGGUCCGACCCACCUAGUUCAAGGCUCCAAACAGUCCAAAGGAGUCCCAAGGAUCAGCUCCACAAGGCUCCAAUCCUGCUGAACACAAGCAUCAACACCGCGUCAAAAUGACGACCGAAACGUCCGAUUUCGGCCUAAUUUGCACUUAGUACAAAGUAACCCCUUAAAUCCCUAUUUUGGGCUCGUGUAAUACCUCAAGUGUAACCUCCAAGAGUCCUCACAAGUCAGUCGAAGACGAUCCAAGGCUCGAUCGCGAUCUUGCUGCGAACAAUACCGAAACGGCGUCACAAUGCUCGUAUAUAAGCUUCCAUGGUUCAAUUCUUGCGAAAUUGAAUUUCUAAUGGAAAUUCCUGCUUACCCUUGGUUAGAGCAGCUUCCAAACCAGCUUCCAAGAGUGCAAGUUCAGCUCAAAAAGGCACAAAGACCUGCUGCGAAGAGAUCAUACAAAACAACGUCAAUUACGCGAUUAAACCGCGUAUAGUUCCGGAUUAGCUUCAUAAAUGGCUAAUUAUUCCAAUUAAGCUUUAAAGUAGCUUAACCCUGGUCUAAGAAGGUUAAUUCACAGCUAAUUAACCCAUAUAUACAUGCUGAAAUCUCAGGUUAAAACAGUUGGAAGCAAAAACAUGAAAUCAAUACUCAAAUCGACCAAUAAAGCGCCGAUAACGGAAAAAUCAAGUCGUUUACCUUCUCAAGCUUCCAACCAGCACCUCACUGGUCCAGGGCUGCGAAAAUUCUUCCAAAACACUCCCCCACACGUCCACGUAGGCUCUGCGACGCUCGCCACCAGCGAAAAACGCGCGAAGCGACGAAAACGAGCGAAAUCGUCGAAUCCUUUGUAGAGAGAGAAAAACCCUAGAGAGAGAGAGUGAGGAAGGUGGGAGAACCUUUCUCUGAGCCCAGCACCCUCCACUGAGCAUCCCUGGUCGAGCUGGGGUCAAGUGGAUAGGUAUCAAGUGUGAAAUGACCGAAAUAGCCCUGCUGCCACGUUUUCCCAUUGUGUACCGGUACACCAUGGUGGCUGUACCGGUACACCAAGCAGAAAAUGCUGAAUUUCGCCAAUUCAAUGCACUUUCUCACUUUCCGCAUUCCAAUCAUCCUCUAACUUAUCCAAAAACUUGUUCUAACCUUUUAGAACAUGUAGGAGUGAUCCACACACCAUUCCACACACUCGAACUCCGCAAUUUGCAAAAGUUCAGUGUAUUACAGGUAUGUGGGGUCUUAUAUAGGCUGCCAAAAUUGCAAAAAGACCCUUCCUCUUUUCAUAUUUGCAGCAAACCAAAGUCUGCUGCGAGGUCCAUUUAGUACCGGUACAAGGUGAAUCUGUCACCGGUUACGCGAUUACACAGAGACUAACCCGAGAGCUGCUUCUCUCGGGUAAUACACUUGGUACCGGUACACACCAGGGGUGUCACCGGUUCAACAGCCUUUUUUUCUCAAACUCGAGAGCUGCUUCUCUCGGUCUGAUGCAUGGUACUGGUACAAGCUCAGUGCAUUACCAGUAACAAAAGUUUCAGACUUCAAGUUUCGCAUCAUUUCGACUCCAAUUUGCGCCGAGCAAUGCUAAAACCUUUCUAACUCAUUUGGAACUCAACUUUAACCCUUCCAACCUUGUUGGAAUGUUAAAUGGACUUUGUCCAACUAUUUCUUUCGGACACUUUAGUCAAUUUGGCUAAAGUCCGAUAUACUCUACCGAGGUUUCGGUAUAUUACAGGUACUGAAUUUGUAUUGGGUACCGGUAUUGGAAACUGAGUAUCAGUACGCAGUAGAAAAUUAGAAAUCCAACGUUUGGGUUUUUAGGUACUGGAAAUCGUGUACCGUUACUAGAUGCCCGAGUACCGAUACACCAACCCGAGUACCGGUACUCAGCUCUACAGAAUGCUGAUUUUGAGGGAUAAAUAGGUAAUUUCAUGUGGGAGCUUAUAUAAAGGGGUGCCCUUUUCCUUUCUCUGCAGAACACACACACACACGCACACUGAGGGAGAGAGAAGAGCUCAUCUCUCUCUCUCUUCUUCCUCUUCUCCAACUUGGAGAUCUUGGUGGAGAUCAAAUUUAGGAAGCUCGGAGGAGCAGUGAACCGAGCUCUCGGGUGUUUGGUGGCUUGGAGCGCUUUCGACUCGAGGUAAGUUUUGGGGUUUAAGCUAGGGUUUUGGGUUUAAACAUUCUAAACAGAUUUCUAUCAAACCCUAGGCUAAUUUAGGCUACAAAUUGUAGAGAUUAGCAAAUGAAAUUGGGUUUUAUCAUGAAAUUUGGAAAACGCUAGGUUAAAAAAUGGAUUUGUUUGUGGAGCGUUCUAAAAUGUUUUAACUUUUUAAAGGCUAGAUUACAGAAAACCUCCCUGUAAUAACCCGCUUUUUCACUUUCCCUCCCUGACAUUUAAAAACCUACACUUUGCCCCCUUAUAAAAUGAAAAAUGUGCACUGCACCCCCUACCGUUAGGGUUUCGUUAGGGUUCCGUUAUAAAAUAUUUUUUAUGCCGAAAAUACCCCUCUGCCCUCUUCCUUGUUGCUUCGCCUCCCUCCGGCUUGCCGCCUCGCCGCCGCCUUGUCACGCCCCGGGACCGGCGGAGGCCCUCCCGGUAGCGUGCCCAGACCCGCCAUAUGUCUACACAUAUAAGGCGUCUACAAUAAAAGCCGAAGUAAAAGCAAGUAGCAGAACAAAUAGCAGAAGUGAAAUAACUAGCAACUAAUGAUAUCAGAGCGAGUAUAGUUCUAACAUCUAUACCAAAGUAAAGAAGUAAAGCUAGACAAUAAAAGGGGUUAUAAGUAGUACAAUAUCUGUCUCAAAAGUACAAAAGUUGUGGUCUCUAAGACACGGGUAAAACUCUCAACCUCUCGCAAAAGAAAUAUAAAACGAGAGGUAGACCACCUAGCAACUCGUCCUCGAAGGAAGCUAGCUCGAAGCAACUCCCUUCCCGCGAUCCCUGGCCUCACCCUGCGUGGAAGGCUCUGAAAAACAUCGAGAAAAAGAGGGCGUGAGAACUAUAAUUUAUAGUUCCCAGUGGGCAAUUACUGACCUCAGCUCUAUGCACCACUAGGCCCCAAAAGAAAAGGGUAAGUACAAUAAUAAUAGCAAUAAUGACUGCGAUAUAAAGGCAUAAUUAAAAUGCUAAAUUACUAAACUCAAGUAUAAACGAUGUCAUGGUGAUGUACAUCUACGAUAUCAAAAUAGUAAGUCAUUAACCUUUAUGAAUACAUUAUGCAUAAGUUCUGUCAUGGCAACCAAGUAUGCUCUAAUGCAAAAGGAGACUAUCAAGUAUACUACAUGUCUCAACACUAUGCUAAAAGCAUAUAAAUGUAAUUCAACUACUAAACCUAUCUAGUAGUGAUUAUCCAUUCUCAACACCGUGUCGAUUUCCAUUUCCAAUUAAGGACCUACCAAAGGUAGUCCAGCUUGUGCCGCCUAAGUGCCUGUGGUAGCCCAACAUCCCUACUCUUGGAAUGUGUCUGUCCCACUCGACCCCGUAGGCUUCUCAAUACCGCACGAGCGAACAUAAGUCGCGUAGGCUAACUCCGGAGUGCCGGCUUGUAGGGAGCGACCCUCACAAGCAUGUGCGAAUGAGCACAAAUGGCAAGCAAGUAUAGUCUAAGUCUCAAGUAUCCAACCCUCAUGUCUCUAACAUGGUAUAGUCACUAGCAUCUCGAAGAUCUAGUUCUAAGUCACAAAUGAAGUUCCAACAUUCUCUAGGUCUAGUGCCCCUUUAUGACACUUAGACAUUUAAUGUUUAAGCAUGUUCCACAUUCCUCAAUGGCCCUAUCCACUAGGUUCUCACAUGUCCCGAGCUCAAUGCCGCUUGAUGACAUUAGCUCUCUAGUUCACAUACCUUCUAAAUGGCAAUCUUGUCAUCUUUCAUGUCACAAGUAAACUCAAGUUUAAAUGCAUGAAUCCAAACUCAUUUACACUAUAGAAGCAUGAAACUAAGUCUCAUAAAGAAUGCUAAAUGCAACCAUAGAUCUCCAAAACAACUCUCUACUACAUAGAGGUCCGAAAUUUCAUCAUAUGUAACAUAUGCAUUUUAAGCAUUCUAAAAAUCAUAAUAAAUAUAAUUAGGAUGAAUAUGCAUGCUUUUCCAAUUUACGGAACAUUUAUAACCAUAUAUGAGAAUUUCUCAUAUGUAGGCUAGGUCAAACCCACCGAACCGUCGCGUAGGGCCUCGUUUCGCCGAACAAAGUUGUCCCCGAGUCUCAAAAUACCCUAAAAGUAUUGAGCGACAAGAUACACGGGCAUUACGAUCAUCUUAUAAUAUCAAACAUUAACCUAGAAGCAAAAGUGCCAAAACUCACUCAGAGUAGAAAUCCUCAUCUAAGCUCCAAAGAGAGUUAUUUUCCCUUCCAAUCCAAGUCCAAGGAAGUUCUAAACAAACUAAUUUAGUCCAUAAAGCCUUAGAUCAAAAAUGCCCAAAUAUGAAGCCUAAAACACUCAUCUAGGGAUUUCAUCUCAAAGAAACCCCAAAAUUCAAAUUAGAGAAAAGAUCAGUCACUUAGCUAUAGGAAGUUCAAAUCAAGCUCAAAGUCCUCAACUCCAAGGAUAACCUCAACCAAGCAUAAACCUAAAGCUCCAAUGUGGAAAAAGCCUCAAUAGCAAAAGAGAGGUUUAAUCUCUUAAAAUCCUACCAAAAUCCAAAUAGAUCAAAAGGAAAUCAAAGAGGGCUCCCUUACCUCUCCUCUUGCUGGUCCCAAGCUCAGGAGAAGACCCCUAGGGCGUGGGGGGUACUAAUAAGAAGUCCACAAUCGCAAAAAGCCCCCUGCAGUUCAAACUGCACGAAAUCAGCCCCCUUGUACCGGUACACGGGCUCUUGUACCGGUACAAGGUCCACGAAAUCCAAACCCGAAGCUCGGGUUGCUGGGCUCUGCGGCUCUGUACCGGUACAAGCUCCGAUGGCUGUACCGGUACAACCAUCAACCUUGUACCGGUACAAGCACAACCUUGUACCGGUACAAGCCUGCUAGAACUCAAUCCGAGAGUCAGCCAAAUUUCCUUUUUUCGGGUUUUGGUGCAAGGCUUUGUACCGCAAAUCUCGGGACACGUGCCAUAGGUCGGAACACAGUCAACGACACACCAGAAAAAUCUGGAAAAGCUCAGAACACGGCCAAUCACUCGAACCUCGCAAUUUGCAAAGGUCCAGUGUGUUACGCGCCGCCUCGCCGUCCUCCACUGCCUCGCCCUCGCCCACAUCCCAUUCGCCCUCCUCCGCCGCCUUGCCUUCGCCCUCGUUGCCCUUGCCUACCUCUCCAUCAACACCCACCUCGAUUUCCUCCCUACUAUCGUCAAAAUCGAGGGGCGGCGAGGGUGAAGGAGGAGAAGGAAAGCAGGUGGAGAAGGAAAUGGAGAGAAAUCGCGGCCGAUUGAGGUAGGAAUCGCUGCCGAUCGAAGGGGCGGCUGAGGAAGAUGAGGAAGAUGAGGAAGAAGACGAAAAUGGCGAGGGGCAAAAUGGUCAUUUUACACACUGUAACCCUCCUGUGAACAUUUUUUAUUUUACAAGGAGGCAAAGUGUAGGUUUUUAAAUAUCAGAGGGGAAAAGUGAAAAAGCGGGUUAUUACAAGGGGCUUUUUUGUAAUUUAGCCCUUUUUAAAACCCAAAUUGAGGGUUAGGAAAUCAUGUGAGGCCACUUGAUUUCAAAUGCAAAAAUUAUUUAGUGGUUCGAAAAUAGUAACGAAUGAAUUUCUUGUAUAGGGCAAAGAAAGCUUGGGAGUAAGCUUGGAGAUGCAAGACAUUGGUCUAAUUGCAAGUGUCUAAAAACAAUUAGGAAGCUUUGCAAGGUGGGUUGUGCUUCAUCGAAGUGAUUAGGUCACUUCUAUGCCAAAGAGUGAUGUAUGGUAUUGUUUAUUGAUGCAUGCAUAUAAUGGUAGAUUAAUUGGUUAAAUGAGUAGGCAUAAAUUGUAUGCUACUUAGGGUAAAUAUAAUAUCCGAGAUUUUGACAGUGUAGCUAAACCCUUUGUUGACGAUGUUUUUGUGUGUAAUGUAAUUACAUAAGCACUCGUCAAGUUUCAGGAGAAAACGAGUUAGAAUGGAGAAGUUAUGCGACCUGUAAUAAUCACUUAAAGGGAAUAGUAACUGCGGUUUUCCAGAGAAGCCAAUGAGUGGAGAAGGUCUCUGGUGCGUAUUGGACUCCGUUCAUAGUGAUCCAACAGCUCGUUUUCAAUGGUUUGACUAUUACGAACCCAAUGGCACUGACGGAAUUGGGUUUUGAAGCACAGUUAUCGAGGAAAAAGGGGGUUUAUUGGAUUUACAUGUAUAUGUAUAUGGUUAUUAUGGUGGAUCGUGGAGAAGGUUGGUUUCGUCGCAUAUCGGCGACCAAAUCGGAUAAAACAAAAUAGUAGAUUCGAUGUCUCAGUCAUGCUGAACGUGCUGGCGCCGUCCGUUCGGAAAUCCGACGGACAGAUCUUCAGGAAUCUCAAAACGUUCGUUGAGGGAUCAAAAUCGGCAAAAUAGUAAUUUUGCAAAAAGCACGACAUUUUAUGUACCGUUUUGCACCCUUUCGAACGUCGAGGUGCGUACUCGCAAGUUGCAUGCACUGGCAGGGGCUGGACUGUAAAUUAUAUGCUUUGAGGGGGUUUUCUGCAAAAUGACACCUUGUAUAAAUAUGGCAGCUAGGGUUUCCAUGAUCUUUUUGGCUGUCGAAGUUCACCCAGCUAACCCUAGCCGUCGCAGCAUCCCUCUACCUUGCCCGUGCGCACGCCCCGGCCGCCGGCGAGCACCCCCGUCCACCGGAAAAGCAACCUCGGCCUCCCCACCAACUCUUUCUCUCUCCACCUUGCUUUUUUCUCGACCCUUGAAUCUAGGAAUCAUCAAAUACCUGGGUGAUCACAUUCCCUGUGUCACGCCCCGGGACCGGCGGAGGCCCUCCCGGUAGCGUGCCCAGACCCGCCAUAUGUCUACACAUAUAAGGCGUCUACAAUAAAAGCGGAAGUAAAAACAAGUAAUAGAACAAAUAGAAGAAGUGGAAUAACGAGCAGCUAGCGAUAUCAGAGCGAGUAAAGUUCUAACAUCUACACCAAGGUAAAGAAGUAAAGCUAGACAAUAAAAGAAUUCAUGAGUAGUACAAUAUCUAUCUCAAAAGUACAAAAAUGGUGGUCUCUAGUACACUGGUAGAACUCUCAACCUCUCGCAAAAAGAAAUACAUCGAGAGGUAGACCACCUAACAACUCGUCCCUCGCUGAAGAGCUAGCUGGAAGCAAUGCCCUUCCCUCGGUCCCUGGCCUCACCCGGCGUGGAAGGCUCUGAAAGAAAACAUAAAACAGAGGGCGUGAGAACUAUAAUUUAUAGUUCCCAGUGGGCAAUUACUGACCUCAGCUCANGGAAUCACGAAAUGUUCCCUGAGGGGUUGAAAUCGGCAAAACGAAAAACUUGAGAAAAACCGAAUAUUUUAUGUUCUAUUUUGCGCAAUUUCAAAUGUCGAGGUGCGUACGCGCAAAUUGCACGCGCUGGCAGGGGCUGGACUAUAAAUAAUAUGCUUUGAGAGGGUUUUCUGCCAAAUGAUAUCUUGUAAAAAGGUGGCAGCUAGGGUUUCCAUGAUCUUUUUGCUGCCCAAGUCCACCCAGCUAACCCUAGCCAUCGCAGCAUCCCUCUACCCUGCCCGUGCGCACGCCCCAGCCGUCGGCGAGCACCUCCUGCCGCCGGAAAAGCCACCCCGAUCUCCUCCUCAAUCUCUCCUCACGACCUUACCACUACCCUCUCAACCGAUGAGCUCUGGGAAGCAUCUACACUCUUGGGAUCAUUAUCCUCUGGCCGAGACCCACCUCUGACGCCGUCCCCGCUGGCGUCCGCCAUCCCCGCACGCCGCCGGCCCCGCUGGUGCAAACUGCGGUGAGCCUGGGUCAGCUCGGGCCGAGUUCGGUUAAGCUCGAGAUUGCGUGCAGUAGCUGCCCUAAGUCGGCCACCUCGUCCUUAUCUAGCCGCCGGCGACCUCCCGCGUGCAUCCUCGCCAUCUCCGCACACCGCUGGCCGCCGUUUGCGUGGACGGACCAUAAAAGCCUAGAAAUCACAUAAAAUAAUAGGAUUUCAUGGAAUCGGGAGGGCUUUUAUACAAAUGUGUUGGUUGUGGUCGCUGUGGGCAGCGUGUGCGGGCUGUGGGUGACCUCUGGACUGGUUGUCCAAGGCCCCAAGCCUUUCCGAAAAUUAAUUGUUGAUUUUCGGAACGUUUUUCGGCGAAAUCCGCCGACGGAACGCGUUUUCAGUUCGGAAUUCCUCCGACGGUGCCUCGUGAGCUAUUGUUAUGUUAUUGAGCCUUGCUGGCUGGUCACCCGCAUCAUUUCGAGGGUUCGAAAAUGAUGGGUGAGCGACGGUGGAUUCCGGUGUCGAAAUUGACACUUACGGGAAUCCGGAUCGGAACGAUUAUCUGACGAUAAUCGCUUCGAUAUGAGGCGAUGUGUUCGCUGUCAUGUCACACGUAACAUCGUGAUUAGGGGCAGUGGGUGACUCGUAGUUGAGUCGCAGUGUUUCGGGACAGUUCGUGGGUCCCGGCGGAGUCCCGGUGAGGUUUUCGAGACUUCCGGCGUGUUCAGCAAUCGAUUUUAGAAAACCGAUUUCUGUAGGUUCAUUGGUGGGGAGUGUGGGUUAGUAAAUAGUAAUACAUGUUGUUGGGCUAGAUUCUAACUCGGUGGACCUUUUGUAGGUUCAGUUGUUCCGUCUCCGCAGUCGAGAGACCAGUUCCAUAGUUGUACAGGUGGGUACUUCGAUCCGAAGUCGGUACAGUGGUGCACGCUCGGUGAUAUCUUCUUACCCUUACUUUCCUAUUAUUACUCCAUAUGCAUAUAUUAUAUGUUGAGCCUAGCACCUACACUAUGUUCCUUGUUGCUCUACUUAGUUAUCUUGCAUAUUCUGUAUCAUGUUUAGAGUAGAGCAGUUUUGUGAUAUCUGUGACCUGGUUGAUCGAUUCUCGUAUUUCGUACCUGCCAUGGAGUCGGUUUACUGCAUUUACUUUUGUGACCUACUUGGUCAGUCAGACUAUUAGUGACCUGUACGGUCGGUACGCCCUGAGGGGCUGGAUUGUUGGCUGGUUGCCGACGGUUGGUUAUUGAGCAUAUCAGCAUCGAUCGCCCGAGACUCGUACGCAUUUCACGAACACCAGUGGUCUGAUCCACCGCAAGAGGAUAUUCUUUUUCGGAAAAGUGGUUCGGUGUGCCAACCCGUGAGCCCAGCGACCUAGGCUGGGUCAUAUGCAGGUAGAGUGGCAGUGGGCAUGGGCCUGAGGUCUGCGGACCAAUAGAGCAGUUUCGAGAUUGGGUAUCUUUGGACUUGUCGUCUGGUUGACGCAUACAUAUAGUAGCAGUAGUUUUGCAUUUAUACUUCUUGUUCAUAUAUCAUAUUGCUACUGUAUUUCACUUACCCCUACUGUUGUUUAUCCUUCCUGAUUGGUGAGUACCCCUCGCCUUCGUCGGCUUGCGGUACCCACUGGGAGGGGAGACAUGUUUACAUGUUCUCACCCCCCACCCCCAUUACAGGUGACGUCGUAGGUCCUAGUGGGACGGAUCGUGAGGAGCGAGUCUAGCGACCGAUAGAGCCACCGUCCCGUUGUCUGUUAUUUCUCUACCUAGCUUAUUUAAAUAAAUAACUUAGAAUGUUUAUUUGGUUCAGUUACUAUUACAUUGAAUUCAUCUAGUUUUAUAAAUGUAAUAAUGGAAUCGAGAUUUCUGCAAAAUGAAAAUGAUUUUCUACCCCUCGUAGUAGCGUGUUUUAAAAAGAAAAUAUUUUCUUGUGGAAAACAGUUUUUAAAAGAGUUUUCUCGUGGUUUUCUUAAUUUAGUAUUUCAAAACAAGUUUCCGGGUAGGAAACAUUUUAACUAAUAGUAGUGAUUUUACGAUUAAACUCUGAAUGUUAAAUCUGUGGUGAAUGGUAAAUGAAUGUACGGAUAUACGCAUGUUUGUAUAUUUAGUUAUGGUUGUUGUAUUCUGUUUGGACAUCUUGUACUUGUGCGACGUCGUGCAAAUACAGGAAAGACUCUGUUCGUGUGAACAGUAGACUCCCUGUAUUUGUGGCGGAUCUGGCAUACCCUGGAGAUCAGGUUUUCAAAAAAAAAAAAAAUUUUAACACUUCUGCUCUGUUUUUGAACUAAAAAGAGACUCCGGGGCGUGACACUGAUAUUAUGUCUAUCACCUAGCUCGUAGGUUACUCCACAGGUGAAUACCUCGCGGCAACUGACCACACCUUUCCACCAUUGCGAGUAGGGUACAAAGGCUCGGCCCUCAUGCAGUGGCCUUCUUCUGACACAGUAUAGAGAUCUAAUUAAUUUACACCACAGCAGGUAUGGCUCAUUAAAGAAGCGCUACCACCAUUUGGUUAAGAGGGCUAGAUUCAUGGAUUCCAUAUCUUUGAUCCCUAAUCAUCCUUCUCUUUUACUUUUACACAAAGAUUUCCAUUUGACCAGGCAUGUGCCACCAGCAAUUUUGGAGCACCCUGUCUAAAAGAAGGCCCGUCUCAGUGCUUCAAUCUGAUGCAGUACCCACUGCGGCGCUUUGAAGAUGGAGAAGAAGAAUAGCGGCAGGUUAGAAAGUACCGAGUUGACGAGGGUAAGUCUUCCCCCAAAGGAGAGAAGUUUAGCUUUCCAUCCUUCAAUUCUCUCCUCUAUACGAUUGAUGACCAAACCCCAAUCCUCCUUGCGGAGUUGUUUGUUGUGGAGCGGAAGUUUCAGGUAGUGGAAAGGUAGAUUGCCGACUUUGCAUCCUAAGAUGCUAGCUAGUCUUUCUGCUUUGCGUGAAUUGGACCCGAUGUAGUAAAAUGCCAAGUUGUCCUUAUUGAUCUUGAGACUAGAGGCCCACUCGAAAAUAUUCCAAACAAAUAGCAGGUUGUAUAUAAAACAUUUUCUUGGCUCGCAGAAGAAAAUUGUGUUGUCAGCGUAUUGGAUAAGCACCGUUUGACAGUCUACGGAUGGUCCAAUUCCGCAAAGCAGGUUGUUGCCCCUCGCAGCUUCAGUCAGCCUGGCCAGACAGUCUGCUACCAAUAGGAAGAGGUAAAGGGAGAGAGGGUCUCCCUGUCUGAGCCCCUUCCUUACUUUCAUCCACUUAGUCGGGGUGUCAUUCACUAGGAUGACUACUUUGGCGUUGCAGAUGCAUUGUUCAAUUCAAGCCCACCACUUAUCAUUGAAUCCUAGCCAUUGUAGUAUGUAUUUUAAGAAAGACCAUCUGACACACUAGUUAGUGAUUAAGAUUAAGGGGAUUUGUGCAUUUUAAAGCUCUUGUACUAUUCUGUAAAUUAACUCCUACAGAAACAUUGGGAUAAUUAAUCUUUUAUAUAUAAGUUGAUGUUCAACCUGAGACUAUUUGGUCAGAGUACUUAUUAUGGACUUGAGAAGGAAGAUAGUGAUGGUUUUUUUAUUUUAUUUUUAUAUUUUUUUAAGAACAACGAUGUGGAGGUGUUAGAGUUCUAUAUAUGAUGGUACUCACGACAGAACUAUAUGAUGAUAACCUAUUAAUAUAGUUUCAAAGUUAGAUCAUACUAAUUAACAAGAACAUAAAUCACACUUGUAGACAAUAAGUACAUUCACAAACAUAGUUUUGGGAAGAAACUAAUAUAAUAAAGGACUUCAGAUUCGUUAUUUUUUAUGCAUUGGAUCACCAUCAGAAAACUAACCAUUUUCUUAUUUAUUACAUAAGCUUGCAUUCAAAGAUUAUUACUUGUCUAUUUUUUGCCCAGAUGGAUAGACAGUAGUAGACUUCAAGCACUCAAAUAUCUUAUUUAUUACAUAAGCUUGCAUUCAAAGAUUAUUACUUGUCUACUUUUUGCCCAGAUGGAUAGACAGAAGUAGUAGACUUCAAGCACUCAAAUAGCAAUUGGCUGCACGAACAACAACGAGAGGUGUUUUUCAAGAUAAGUAGAGUAUGUGAACCCGUCUAUGUCCUUGUAUACCAUUUCGCUCAUUCGAUUAAAAUUAUCAACUCUUUCAAUCAGAGGUAUCGGAACAUCAGUUGGCUUCAGGAACGCUUCGUUUGUUCUUUUCCAAGCAUCUUCUAUUAUGAAGCGAAAUUUUGCAAUGGCUACUUCCUUGGUUGUGUUGUGUUCUUUCAUGUAGGUCUCCAACGUAGAGAGACAAUCUCCUUUCUUCUGUUCACGCUGGAGAAAGAAAGAAUAAGAGAUCAUUAUGAAGUAACGAAAUAAAUUUGAAACUAACACUAUGAAAUAUAACCAAAGGAUGAUGAGAGACAGAUAGAUGAUAAGGGCUUGUUUGCUCCUUCUAAACUAUUGUUUUGAGUAAGUUAUAUGAAAUGCAUGUAUUAAUUCUUUGUAAUAGUUUAUUACAGUAAGAAGUAAAAUACUUUAAGGCCCCGUUUGGUUGGCGGUAUAAGCAGGGAUAACUUUCGUUAUCCCCGCUAUUCCGCCGAGUGAAAAAAUUUUUGACUGGAAUAUUUUAUUCCGGUCAAAUUUUGCUAUUCUCGGCUAUUUCGAAAUAGCUUGGAUUUAUUAUUCCACUAUUUUGAUGGAAUAGUACUAUUUCAAUAUUUAGUUUCAAACUUUAUUAAAAUUAUAAAUUAAAUAUAAACUAAAUUAUAUAAAUAUAAUAUAUUAUAUAUUAUAAUAUAUAUUUUUUAUUAUAAAUGUAUUAAUUGUACUAUAUUAAUAAUAUUAUUUCAUAAAUUUGGUAAAUAAAAUUAUAUUUAAAUUAUAAAAUAUAUUUUUAUUAAAUUUAGUUUAAGUAGAAUUUUAAAAAUUAUAAAUUUAUUAAUAAUAAAAUUAUAAAUUUAUUAAAAAUUUCUACUUAUUAUCAAAUUUAUAAAUUUAUUAUAAUAAUUAUUUUUAUUAAUUGUUCCACCCCAAUUCUUAUUUUCAAAAAUUUAAAAUUAAAAUUUAAAAUGUAUUUAAAUUUUUAAAAUUUAAAAUUUUAUAUUUUAAUAUUUCAAAUUUAAAUUUGAUUUUAAAUUUAAAGUUUGAAUUUAAAAUUUAAAAUUAAAAUUGUUGAAUUUCAAAAUUUGAAAAUUAUGAAAUUUUAAAAUUUUUAUUUCAAUUUUAAAUUUUAAAAGUAAAUUUUAAAUUUAAAAUAUAUAUAUUAAAAAUUUAAAUUUAUAAUAAUAAGAAGGGUAAUAUUAUUAUUUUUUAUUUAUAACUACUCACUUUAAUUCUAUUCUAUCUUACUUAACUAAACGCUAUUUUUUCUACUGUUAGGAAUCACUACAACAAAACGCUAUAACUUUUAAAUUCAUCAGAUCAAUAAAAAGUGUUGCUGGAAAUUACGACACUUUUAAAAGUGUUGCUAUAUGUAGGUCGCUAAGUAUAUAGUGAUAGUUAAAAGUGUCCGUAUAAUCUANNNNNNNNNNNNNNNNNNNNNNNNNGCAAUUCCAGUUUCUACUUUCUAGUGGGUCGUGACAGUGUUUCGACCUAUGUGCUCGACAUCCCGACAGUGAGGUUUAAGCGAGCACGCAACCGAAAAUCGGAUUUUUGGGUUAACUCUCGGGUUUGCCUUCAGAGGGCUGUUGUACGGUACGGAGUGAUGUGUACCAGGUAAGCAUCGACUUUGGCGCUUUCUCAGCAACCGAGGCUCGGGUGGGCGUUUUCGACGAUGGUGUACCGGUACGCGGGCCUCUGGUCGGUACGCAGUGUGAUUAUGCAGCGUUUGAACUGCAGGGGGUUUUUCGCGUUUGGGCAUCUCUAUUCCUUGUACACCACGCUAGGGUCCCUGGCUUGGCACUGCAGGAGAAGAGGUAAGGGGAGCUUUCACACCCUCCCUCUCCAUUCUUUGAUUUUGCUUCGGUUAUUUAGAGCAUUAAUUCCCUCUUUUUGCUCUUUUUGGGUUUUGGGAGCGUAUUCCCAUUGGAGCUUUGGGUUUUGGCUGUAGUUGAGGAGGAUUCUGGGACCUUGAGGGUUUUGCACUUGUUGGAGGUUCUAAGAGGUUUGGUGGCUUUUCUUGUUCUCUAUAUUUUGGUUUUUGAUCUUUGUAGUAAUAUAAACCCUAGAAAUGGAUUUUAGGGUUUAUUUGAGGCAUUUUGUUCUAGGGUUUUGGAAGCUAGAUUGCGUUUGGAUUAGAACCUUCCUCUAGCGUUAGAUGGAAGGAGUUCUAGCUCUCUUUGGCAUAGCAGAGAUUUCUACUCUUGAGGUGAGUAUUUGUCCCAUUUUGCUAGAAUGCUUCAUGUUUGAGCUUUGUGCUCGUUCGUUUGUUUGGGAUGACACUUUUUUUGCAAUUUCUAGGGUGCCUAGAAGGUUGUCGAACUCGUUUGGAGCAAACGAAAAGUUUCGUUGUAUGUCGGUGGGUUUGACCUAGCCGUUAUAAUUAUGAGAAAUCUCUUUUGCGUGAUAAGGUGCUUGGUUUAUAAUUAUCAUUGCAUUUUUAUAUUCAAUACUAUUUAUAUUGAGUAUUAGAAUGCUUAAAAGCUAAGUAUAUAAUGUGAUUUUUUGGAACUCUAUGUGUAGAGAGUUGCUUGAGGAGCUUUGGUGCAUUUAGCAUUCGUAUUAUGAGGUUUGAUUUCAUGGUUUUAGGAUGUAAUAGCUUAUAUGAUUCUUGCUUUAACAAUAAGUUUAAGAUGGCAUGAAAGAUGACAAUUGCUGACAAGUGUAGGCCAUCGAAUACGCUCUUAUGUGAUUGGGAGAGUAAUGUCAUCAAGCGGCAUUGAGCUCAGGAUCUUGUGGAGGAACCUAGUGGCAUAGGGCAUUGGGUGUUUGGAAAACUGUGUUGAAAAUCAAAUUGCUAAGUGUAUCAGGAGGACUAGGGCGUAGCAACUGUUGAAACUUCAAUUGUGACUUACUAGUUUCGGGAUGCUAGUUAUUGAUCCUGUUGAGAAUGAGGAUUGGAUAUUUGGAUCUUGGACUAUGCUUGCUGCAAUUUGUGUUCAUUGACAAUGUUGUGAGGCCGUACGCUCCUUACAGCCGGCACUCGGAGUAGCUGCGGACUUAGAUCUCUCGUGCGGAUAUUGGAAGCUAGGGAUCGAGUGGGCGCCAGACCAUUCAAGAGUAGGAUGUCGCGGGCUACCACAGGCACUAUUAGGCGGCAAGCGGACUACUCUUAGGUAAGUCCCUAAUUGGAAAUGCGAAAUGCACUGGGGUUGAGGAUGAUAUGAUUUCACUAACUAGAUAGACUUAGUGUUGGGUUCAUCUUACAUUGUUUUAGCAUGUGUGAGACAUGGUAGAUAAGUGUCGCAUAUUAGAACCUAAAACCUUGAUGUAUUGACAAAGCGUUUACAACAUUAAUUAUGGUGAUGUGGAACUUGAUUGCUAAUGAUAGAAAUAGAUGUACAUUUGGUGCUACUGAGCUUAUUUGGACACAGACUAGACUGAUUUAUUAUGCUUUCUUUCCAGCAGUUUGUAUAUGCUCCUUAUUAGCUUUUAUUAUUAUCGUUACUCACCUUGUAUUUGGGGCUAGGGAGCACAGAGCUGCAGAGUUCAGAUAAUUGGCCACUGGGGAACUAUAUUAUAGUUCUCAGCCCUCUUUUUCCGAUGUUUUUUCAGAGCCUUCACUCAGGAAGAGGCAGGGGAUCGCGGAAAGGGUAUCGCUCGGGUUAGCGUGCUUACGGGAUCGUUCGCAAUAGUGUCUACCUCUCGUUUAUUUUUUGUGAGAGUUGGAGGUUGUACCGUAUAUACAUAGAGACACCACAUUUUUGUACUAGAGACAGUAUUGUACUACUUAUGCUUUCUUUAUUGUUAUCCUUUAUCUCCUUACUUGGGUGUAGAUGUUAGAACUAUAUUUGCUCUGAUAUCAUUAGUUACUGUAUUUCAUUUCUUCUAUUGUUUUAUUACUUGCUUUUACUUCUCUUUAUUGUAGCGCUUAUAGUGUUGACAUAUGCGGCGUCUGGGCACGCUACCGGGAGGGCCUCCGCCGGUCCCGGGGCGUGACAACCGGUCUCGCCCGCCAGGGACCGGUUGCCUCAGGGCUGCCGCAACACUGUUCACUGGGGGACCGGUCUCUCCUUCCAGGAACCGGUCCGCGAGAGUAAAAACUCUCAGGACUUAGCCAGAAAUUCAGUUUUCGAACUUUUUAGGUCGGAAUACAUUCUACAACCCUCCACCAAGUGUGGAAAAGCUCGAAAUACACCCAAACACUCGAACCUCGCAAUUUGCAAAGGUCCAGUGACUUACACCCUAGCCGAGAUCCAUCUCCAGCGCCGUCACCGACAGUCCCCACCGUCAGCGUGCGCCGCCGGCGCCUCCUGUGCAAGUCGCGGUCGACCCGAGCCAGUUUGGGCCGACCUGACUCAAGCUCGAAACGUGCGUGGGAUAUCAGCCCUAGAUCGGCCGCGCCGUCCUUCCUUAGCCUCCGGCGAACUCCCACUCGUCGCCCCGCUGUCCCAGCGCGUCGCCAGCCACCGCUCGUGUCACUUGCGGCCGCCCAGACCUUGUGUAGGCCGAACCCUAUCACCGAGCAUCGCCGCCGCCCACCGUCGAGCGCACCACCUCUCCCUCGACCUCCGGCAACGGGUCGUCAUUGCCCUGUGCUUCUCCGGCCGCCGCGCGAACGCCGUGGACCUCUUGAACCGAGCUGAGGCUGCUCGAGUUCGUGCUUCUCUGCCGCACCACCGGCCGCCUCCCACCGCCGGCAAGCACGUGCCCGACCCCUCUCCGACCGGCCGCGACCUUGCCCUGCCAGAGCACUCGCCGUCUGGCCGCCGCAGGUCGCCCUCGGGCUCCACUAGUCCGGUAAGCACUAUUUUUGGUUCAAGCAUACUGGUUGAGGUUUCCGGUGACCUUUUCGGUGAUCCGAUAAUCCCCCAACACCCCGAGAAGUGAGCACGAUGAUAUUCGAUUCAUGCUGAAUAGCGUGCUCACCUCCGUUGGGGUUAGUGAUGCCUCAGUUUGCGUAUUAGACGUGACUUAAGCGCUGUGCGCACUGUUUCACUAAGGUUCGCGUCGCUCGUGCACUCACCAUAGCAGCUGAUUGUGCUCUGAAGUGUGAACACGGCCUCCAGCAUAUCAAGACUUGUCAGCGGGUGUCUCGGCUUGGCAGAAGGUUAUCGGUUUGCGUUGUUGGACCAUAAACGCCCGGAAAUCAUAUAAAAUAAUGUGAUUUUAUGCAUUUGGAAGGGCUUUUAUGCAAAUGUGUUUAUUGUAGUCGCUGUUGGCAGCAUGUGCGGGCAGUAGGUAACCUUUGGACUGAUUGUCCAAGGCCCCAAGCCCUUGCGGAGACUGAGAAUUGAUUUUCGGUGUGUUUUUCGGCGAUAUCCAUCGACAGAACGCGUUUUCUGUUCGAAAUUAUUUCGACGGUUCUUCAUGAUGAAUUGUGUCGUCGCUGAGCCUUGUUGGCUUGUCACUCAUGUCGGUUUGAGGGUUCGAAAAUGACGGGUGAGCGACGGUGGGUUCCGAUGUCGAAUUGGACACUUCCAGGAACCCAGAUCGGAACGAUUGUUCGACGGUAAUCGUUUCGGAGUGAGUUAGUGUCCUUGCUGCCAAGACAUCCAAUUUGAUGUGUUUUGUGGCAACGGGCGACUCGUGGGAGAGUCAGUGAGUUCCGGGACAGUUCGUGGGUCCCGGCAGAGUUCCGGUGCAGUUUUCGGGACUCCCGGUGAGUAUGGCAAUCGGUUUUGGAAAACUGAUUCCCGUAGGUUUAUUUGUGGGGAUUGUGAGUUAGUGUUUGGUGAUCGAGGGUUGGAUUCUAACCCGGUAGACCUUUCAUAGGUCCGGUGGCUCCUUCCUCCGCAGUUGGAAUAUCAGUACCGAAAAAGCACAGGUGGGUACUUCGACCCGAAGUCAAUACAGUGGUGCACGCUCGGUGACGUUCCUUUCACCCAUUGUUAUUCAUAUUGCAUAUUAUAUAUAUUGAGCCUUACAUCCAUGUUGUUCCUGUAUUACUCUAUUCAGUUGUUUUCAUGUUUAGUAACAUGAGUAGGAGUAGAGUAGAUUUAUCUGCAUAUGAUAUCUGUGACCUGGUUGGUCGAUUUUCAUAUCUCGUAUCAGUGACCUGGUUGGUCGGUUUUCAUAUCUCACAUCUGUGACCUGGUUGGUUUUCAUAUCUUGUAUCUGUGACCUGGUUGGUCGAUUUUAUAUCUUGUAUCUGUGACCUGGUUGGUACGUUUCAUAUCUUGUAUCUGUGAGUUGGUUGGUUUUCAUAUCUUGUAUCUGUGACCUGGUUGGUCGGUUUCAUAUCUUGUAUCUGUGACCUGGUUGGUCGGUUUCAUAUCUUGUAUCUGUGACUUGGUUGGUCGGUUUUCGUAUCUUGUAUAUGUGACCUGGUUGGUCAAUUUUCGUAUCUCGUAUCUGUGACCUACUUGGUCGAUUUGACUAUUUGAUGACCUAUACGGUCGGUGUGCCCUGAAGGGCAGGAUUGUCGGCUGGUUGCCGACGGUUGAUCAUUGAGCAUAUUGCAUUGAUCGCCCGAUACUCGUCGCAUUUCACGAACACUGGCGGUCUGAUCCACCGCAAGGAGUGUUCUUUUCCGGAAAAGUGGUUGCAGGUGCCAACCCGUGAGCCCAAGAACGGUUAUAUGCAUAGUAGAGUGGCAGUGGUAUUGUCUGGAGGUCCGCGGUGCAGACCUCGAGGGCACAGGCUUGAGGUUUGCGGUGCGGACCAACAGAGCAUUAAUUUCAGAUUGGGUAUUUUUGGACUGGUCUUCCGGUUGAUGUAUGCAUACAGUAGCUAUAGUGUUUCAUAUAUAUACAUCUCGUUUACUUGUUUAUCAUAGCUACUGUACUACCAUUAUCUAUACCUUAGUUGUUCUCUAUGACUGGUGAAUACCCCUCGCCUUCGUUGGCUUGCGGUACCCACUAGGAGGGGAGACAUAUUUAUAUGUUCUCACCCCCCGCCCCCAUUACAGGUGACGUUGCUGGUCCUAGUAGGACGGUUCGUGAGGAGCGCUCGUAGUGGUUCGUUAGAACUUCCCGCCUCGUCAUUUGGUUUAAUUCCUUAAACUCCAGCUUCCUUCAAUAAAUUAGAUAAUUUAUAUGGUUCAGCAUUUUAUUACAAUUGAAUUUGGGAUUUUAUGCAUGUAAUAAAGGAUUUAUGAGUUUUCGUGAAAUGAAAAUGGUCUUCUACCCCUCGUGGUAGCAAGUUUUUAAAAGGAAAAGGUUUUUGUGUGGGAAACAGUUUUUAAAAGAUUUUCUCGUGGUUUUUCUUGAUUUAGUAUUUCAAAACCAGUUUUCGGGUAGGAAAUAUUCUAAACUAAUAGUCGUGGAUUUAUGAAUAACUUUGAAUAUGAAUGUGAAUGGUGUAGAUAUGUGUAUGUGCAUAUGUGUGGUUGUAUCCUGUAUGGCAAUUCUUAUACUUAUACUUGUGCGACGCCGUGCAAAUACAGGGGAGACUCUGUCCAUGUGAACAGUGGACUCUCUGUAUUUGUGGCGUAUCUGGCAUACCUUGGGGGUCUGGAUUUUCAAAAAAAAAAAAUUUAGGCACUUCCACUAUGGUUUUAAAUCAACAUGGGACACCGGGGGCGUGACAGAUUAAAGUGGUAUCAUAGACAAGUUACUACCACAGCACCAUUCAUAAGUUGUUUUGAAAAAUAAAUAAGCUGAACCAUUGGUUAGGUUGACCCAUAGGAUGACCUACGGUAUAUAGGCACGUGAGUGCGGGGUUCGGGCUUGAGGCCCAGUGUGCAUGUCGAGUUUGGUAAACUCGGAGUGUUCGGUUAUUUUCGUAUGUGCUACGGUUUUCGCACAAGCUGGUAUCUCAGUUGGGGGUAGUGGCGGUGUACAUAUACGGACAUUGAGUGGCGGGGUGAUGUUCCCCAGUUGUAGCCACUCUUGUCGAAUGGGGCCUUGAAGGGCCAGGCGUUGUUUUUGGGCCUAGGUGAUUGCUUUGGUUGCCAAUGCCCAGGCCACUGUCCCUACUUAGGGCACGAGAGCUAUUGCGAGUGUCUCUACGGAGACGGUACUAAGACCUGUUACGGUCGUGACUUCUGUGGGGCUACUAGGGUGUAGCCCAAGGUUCUGUUAGCGGCCGUCUAGGCGACUGCAACAUUGGUGUUGCUUUCGCAGAUCUCUGGGUAAGGUUGUGAUGUCUAUCCUUCCUCCUUGAUUGUUGAUGGAAUCGACGGUGUGGGUCUUUUGACCUUCAGCUAGUUCAUACGUCAAACUGAUGUGUACCAGAAUUGGAUUGACAUAGUUUUGGUGUCAAGUCUCUAUUAUUGCAUUCAUCGUAUGCGGUUGUUCCAACACCCAAAUUAGUGCGUUGUGGGUUAGUCUAUGGUUUAGUAGGAUUAUUCUUGUCUGGAGUUACUCAAGAGUGUUGUUGGAGUUCUCGAAGCUUUGGGUAUAGCUUGGUUGUUGUAAGGAAGUGAAUUCUCGAAAUCCGAGAGUUAAACUUCGAUUAGAAUCGACUUGUUGUCGACAUGAUAGGCUUCGGAAAGUCCGAAUGCGAUAAAAAUGCAAAAGGUGCAUUGUAGAAGGUCUCGGAGAGCAAACUGGUGAGAUUCUUGUUAAGUCUUGUGUGUUGGCAAGUUUCGUGAAGUGAGUCGGAGUCUUGAAGAAUUGGUGUGUAUUGUCGAAAAUCGAAGAAUUCAAGAUUUCGAAGAAGUUGGAAAAUAACUCACACUGUGAAUCACGAUCUCCAGGUAAAGUGUUAAUUCAUGAUUAUGGUGAUUCAUACUUAGUUGUAGACAUUAGAAUCAUAAUAUCAAUGUCUAACGGAUUAAAAAGUGCAUCGGAACUUUGCAAAACCCGAAACGGCGAAAAUUUGCAAAGUGUACCGGUACAGCAUCAGAAGUGUACCGGUACAAAAUGUGUACCGGUACGGCCAUCAAGGAUGUAACCGGUUUCACUGUUUCGUCAGGUUUUUCGUUCCGUCAUUGUGUAAUCGGUGACAGCCUAAAGUGUACCGGUACACAGUGUAAAAUCGUGAAAUCUUUCUAAUCCGACUCCAAUUGAUUCUAAAGUCUAUAAAUAAGCUAUUGGGCUUCUCUAACAUAUCAAGCAUCACGAAAAUACAUGUUUGAGAAACCCUAGAGGCUCGGAUUUCAUUCUAAACCUAUUUUCUACAAAUUAGCCUCUUUAGAUCAAAUCGAGAUAUCGUUUCGCAUUCGCUAUAUGUCGAUUUGAUCUAGUUUUCGCUUGGAGUUUCCUUCCCUGGUUUUCUACGAUACUCCUAAGCGAAGGAUCACCAUAAUCAUGAUACUCUUCAUGAACGGCGUCGUGGAUUCGGCGUGAACAAAGGCGGUUCGUGGAUUCGGAUCGUUGGCUCGUGGAUUCGAGUGGCGUCGUGGAUUCGGCGUGAGUGGAGCUUCGUGGAUUCGAAGUGAAGGCGUUCAUGGACUCGAACGUGAGGGCGUGGACAACCCGGAGGAUAGCGCGAAGAUUCAUAGGAGGUUAAGAGAGAUUGAGUUCGUGGAGUCGGUAAUCACCUUGUAAUCUUUUCUCUUAGUGAAUUAUUUUUUCGCGUGUUGGUCCCGUAGGUUUUUCUCCAAGUUGGAGUUUUCCCACGUAAAUCUCGGUGUGCUUUUUAUUUUCCGCAUUUAUUUUUAUUGCAUCGAGAUUUGUGAUUUUUGGCCGUUCACCUAUUCACCCCCCUCUAGGUGAUAGUACAAUCUAGAUAGAUCCUUGGGCUUCUCAAAACUUUCAAUUCUGCAUAGUUGCAGAAUUUGUUCUCGGGGACCGGUCCUUGGUAAGAGAGACCAGUCCCUGUAGCUUGGAAAAUGUGGCAGAAGGCUCUGUGCACAAGGUUUGCUCUCGGGGACUGGUCCCUGGCUGGAGAGACUGGUCCCCGUAGGUAUGCCAAAUGGUAAUAGAGCUGUCCUGCUAGAGUGUGCUCUCGGGGACCGGUCCCUCGUUGGAGAGACCGGUCCCCGUAAGCGUGGAAAAAGGGACAAGGGCCCUUUUCUAUAAAUAAGCCACUCUCGGGGACCGAUCCCUAUUGGAGAGAUCGGUCCCCGUAACCCGAAAUGCCCAAAGAUGGGCUGCUUCAUGAUUGCAAUGUUGAGGGAGGUUUCGUGCAAAUGUUACAUGUGUGGGGUUAAGUUGAGGGGAGCCUAUCUCUUUUCUCUCAUUUCUCUCCUCAUACCUAACCCUAAACACAUCCCUCUCUCUCUCUAGAGCUCUCUCUCUCUCUGAAGGAAGGAGAAGGAGGAGAAGGAGUAGAGGGAGAAGAAGGUCAAGGAGGAAAGCAUCAUCUUCUUCAUCUUCUUUCUCUAGUUUAGAGCAAGCUUGAGAGGUAAACUCCUAGAGCAUUAAUGGUGGAUUUCUAGGGUAGAGUUUAAAUACUCUAGAAAUGGUUUUGUUGGAACUCUAGUGUCCCUAGUAGAUGCUCUAUGCUUGAGUCUCAAGCUAGAAUCGUGGAUUUUCGCAUUGUUGAAACCUAGGGCUCCAAAAUAGGGUUUUGAAAAAUCUAGGGUUUCGAUCUAAAUUAGUUGGUUGUAAACCUAAUUGCUAGGUAUCUAAGCGCGUUGGCGGCGAUGGUUUGACUAUUCGUCGAGUUGGUACGGAGAUAUCGCCAAGCAGAGGACGUUUUGGUGUCGUUUCCACCUGAAAGGUCGAGGCGGCGACUUGUGAUCGUGAAUUCGGAUUUCCUGCCUCACUUCGUCGUUAAGAGGUGGGUGGUGACCAUCCCGAAGCAGUUGAACUGCUCCCUAUGUCUAAGUUUGUUGUUGAUCAGUUUUGCAUAUUGAGCAUGAUACAUAUAGGGUGCUUAGAUGCUUGUAUCUAUUCUUACAUGCUAGUAGUAGUGUAGCCUCAUUGGUUUCACACUUGAACCUAGUAUGCAUGAGGUUAGUGUGAUAUGGCUUAGAACCCUAUAUGAGAUGAUACGUGAUGGAUAGGAAUCUAGGUAAAUGACAACCUAGUGAAUGUGUAAUUAGUGUAUUGGAAACACUUAAAUAGGAACGAGUGUUAUCUAGUUAAUGUUGAACACGAGAACGAGUGGCAUCUAGAUACGGUUAAUAACUUAACGAGUGGCACGACAAGUAAAGUAUAGGUGAAGUACUUAUUGCAUGUUGAACUUAGAGAUGAACAAGUUCCCAAGUGAUGUUGGCUAUAGUGGUAGGGUAUCCUCAGUGACGAGGAUUUGAUCAUAUUCACAUGUCUGUUCAGAGCUUGUAGGCGGUCGCUCCGCUCAAGCGUGCGCUCCAGAGUUGUCACACUAUUGGGUAACCUUUUUGGGUCCCAAGGGGUGAGCCUUUUUGGGCCCCGCAGACAGUAUCGGGUGAGUGAGUAGAUUCUCACUGUGAGUGAGCGGUUCCUCACCUACGAUUAUGUUGUGAGACGGGCGAGUGAGCGGAUCCUCCCCAUAGAGAGUAGAUUGUUAGUCGGGUGAGUGAGCGAAUCCUCCCCGUAGAGAGUAGAUUGUGAGUCGGGUGAGUGAGCGGAUCCUCACCAGUGUGACCGAAUAGAUGUGGCACCUAUAAGGGGGCCGUGAGAUUGAGACGCGAGAUUGAAGGCGAGCCCACGGGCUAGCCGAGUGAUUGGGUGAUUAAUGUAUAGCAUCGUUGUUGGAUAGUAGUAUGGUAGCUAGCCUUUUACUAUGUAGUGCAUGCAUUCAUAGCAUUGGAUUGAGGCAUAGUAGGAUACUUACAUUUCUUCUUACUUUUGUUGCUGUUUCAUGCAUAGCUAUCUAUCUAUCUGUCUGUCUUCCUAUGCCUGCUUAGACCUAGUGGGGAGAUCGGCGGAGUCGGCGGCCGAACCCACUGGGAACUAUGGACAAUAGUUCUCACCCCACUUUGUUGCAGGGCCAAGUACGAGUGCGCCAGCCGAGGAUCGUGGUAAGGGCUUAGCGCCCUAGUGUUGGUAGCCUACCCUCCUUUUUGCAUUAGAGCAACCCGAUGUACUUGAGAGUAGAUGAUGUAUAGGAUGUGAGGUGCAUUUGGGAGAAAUGUAGACUUUAUGUUUAUGGUUUGGAAGAAUGUAAAAUAAUCAAUGCAUUAAAGAGGUUGAAUGGUUGUAAUAGUUAGUAUCUCUCUUUUGUUCACUUGUUUAUUACUUGUGAUGUUUGCUCUUGGUUGCUUAGCACUGGUUGUGCUCUCAUUGUUGUUGUUGAUUAUGUAUGUAUUCAAAUUAUUUUCCUGGGCACUUGUUGUACACAAUCACGUUGUUUAGCCUUGGGCGGAUAGGGGAGGUCUUGUCCGUCCAGCGUCUAUUCGACGCGCCCAAACCGGACCAAAUUGGUAGCGGGCUCGGAGUGUGACAGUUGUGGUGCGGAAAUGGUUAGAAAAACCGUUUCCUAAAGCCUCAAUUGUGUGGUUCGCGGGUUAGUGUCGCUAGCAGCUUUUGGAUGUUGAAAGCUGUGGGACUCCCUGUGAGUCGGUUCAGGGUCUUUCUGAUUUCGAAUGUCGACUUGUAAAGUCGAUGUUUCGACGGUAUUGGUUGUGAACUUUUGGUUCAAUAAAGAAGUAUCAGGUAGUUUGAUACUUUGAUGUGUUGCGCUUCCAACAUGUUGUUGGUAGUAGAUCUUCGGUAUUUCGCUUUUCUUUUGAUAAGUACAUUGGCUGCAGACAAUAUACUGUAAAAAGUUAGGACGAAAUACCCUUUCCCUGUUUGGGACUUUUGGAUUGGGUCAGUGUUGUCUCUAGCAAAACAAUCUCUGUAGAUUGUCUUGUGGAAAGGCUUGAGUGAUGGUCAUCUCUGACCAUGUAGCAAGCCUUGGGUUAUUCCCUGGCAGGUUUUGCGCAGUUGAUUUUCAUCACUGUGGUUGGUUUGACUCUGAAUCGAGUCAGGGUGCUCGUUAGCUCUAUAGUUGUGCUGUCCACAGCUAAAAGGUUUGUUUGGUUAGUAAUCUCGAUCUGUUCCCGGGAGGUUCAGAAUCACAGUUGUUGAGUGACUUGAGCCUGGUUGUUUGCUUCGAUUGUCACGGUAUGUGAUAAUGUAUAAUGUUUGCGACUUUGCUUGUCGUGCAAACCUUGGAUUGGUAUGCUUGUCUAGUUAUUUGAUAACAGGUGUGCCUGGGUCUCAAUGAGAUAGGUAUUUGGUGUUGCUGGAAACACCGAUCGCUAGGGUUCCUUCUAGGACAGCAGCGACGGAGUCUCGCGGAGACAGGUGUUGGGCAUCACCGUUGGUUAUUAUCGCAAAUUGCGAUUGGCAACCUUGUGCAUCGAAUGAUGGACUUGCUAGGACCAUAUGUUGGUUUGAUUUUACCGGAUUAAGUUAUCGAGGAGACAAUAUUGUUGAGCUCGAUUGGUUAUGUCAACCUUGGACCUGUUGGUCAGGCAGAUGGUGAGUGUUAUCGACUCAGAUUAUGGGACACACUGCGAUAUAUUUGUUGAUCAUCUGAGCCUAAAGUAUCUCUUCACCCAUAAAGAGUUGAACCUCAGGCAGUGGCGUUGACCCUAGCUCUGGAAGGACUACGGUAUAUCUAUUCAGUAUCAUCCGGGAAAGGCGAAUGCGGUAGCGGAUGCCUUGAGCCGGAGAUAGCCUUCAGCUGAGUUAUCCUUCAUAAUCACGAGCCAGGAUCGCCUUGUGGAAGAGUUCCGCCAUCUUGAGUUAGAGGUUGUCUCCACUGGGGCCAUGGCCUAAUUGAUGACCCUGGUGGUACAGGCUACUUUGACAGAGUGGAUUUUGCUCGGGCAGCAGAGUGACCCGUACUUAUUUUUCAGCACCGCUUAUUGUAUAAAACAAGAGCAAAAAGUCGCAAGCUCAUACACAGUAUAAAAUAAAACCAAAUCGAAGAAGGCCAAAAGCCGAAUAGAAUACCGGGUAACUUUCGUUAUUUUUAUUGAGCAAUCUUCCAACAUAGAGACUUAAUGUCACGCCCCGCGACCGCCCGCCUAUUUGGCCGGGUCGCGGCGCCGCAACAGACCGCCGAACGGACAGGAUUUUUCCUGUACCGCGGACAGAGUCUCCCCUGUACAUUCAAGGCGUCGCAAUUAAUACAAUGUGCGAAGUUCCAACCAGGAACACAUUUCAAUCAAGAUUGCAUAAUGGAAGGUAUCAAACAACAUAACACAUCCUAUGUUAUUAAAUGCAUUCACAUUCAUACAUUUUACAUCCCAAAUACUUAUUACAUUUAACUUCCAAAUACAAUCAUGCUUUUAUUACAAAUUAUUACAAUCUUAUUCCUUUCAUUUUCUUACAUCCCUAAGUAAAGCCGACUCAGGGUACCGCUAUCUCUGGUCUCGGUGGUAGGGCGCUAACUAUGAUGCUACGCCCUCGCCUCGCGCCGCCGCGCCGCUCACGUGUGAAGCUGUAACACCCCAAAACCACGUGGGGUGAGAACCAACUCCAUGGUUCCCAGUGGGUACGGCCACCCAAGGGAAAAGCUCGACCAACAGGUCCGAAGGAGGCAAGCUGCAGGUUAGUUUAAUAGACAAAUAGAUAUGAUAACGAGAUUAUGCAACUAACAAUACCAUGCAUUGCUUCGCAAUAUGCAAUAUGAAGAUCAUGCAAUGAUGCGACUAUACAAUCAACUAGUAAUUCAAUCGAUUACUACUUUCAUCCAAUUGACAUUUAAGGUUUUCUGUCAUUUACCAUUUUAAUCAUAAAGUUUUCAUCUAUCUUUACAAAGCUAACCGCCCGACUCGGUCUUGAGUCAAUCAUCUGCGGAGUACCGCACAAAGCCAGACCCGAGGUUGAAGAUUAUUAAUGCCUUUGGUGGAUUGAGGACUGCUUUACUCCAUUUUUUGUGAAUGCUUAAUACACACUGGCUGCUAUCUUAGUGAUUUACUCCAUUGACAGGAAUUCAGCUUUGGGUUCUUAUAUUGAUUGAUGAUUGGUCUUUACUUAUGUUUCCACGAUUUCCCAGUUUGAUUUUGGUUUAUUAGAUUUUUUCAUUUUGUUGUGGGUUCUUUAUUAAUUUAUUAACAGUUUUGUCAGUUUUCGAUUUUUUUCUCCUAGGCCUCCUGUCUAAGGUCUUCUCAUUUCAGAAUUUUGUUUAUCUGUUGUAAACCUAGACUAGGUUACGCUAGGUCAGAAUUGCAGAUUCUACCAUCUUAGUGAUUUACUCCAUUGACAGGAAUUCACCUUUAGGAAUUCACCUUUGGGUUCUUACAUUGAUUGAUGAUUGGGCUUUACUUAUGUUUCGACGAUUUCCCAUUUUUAUUUUGGUUUAUUACAUUUUGUCAUUUGGUUUUAAUGCAUUUUAUAAGGCAAUGAUGAUAUCAAAAAUUUUGCUGAUCUUUCGUUUGCUGAAGUAGAGGCGCGGGCGAGCGCGAACUUGCGCGGGCGCGAGCCGGCACGACUGCAAGCCGACGCGGAUUAGAGCCCGCGUGCGGGUUUUUUUUUAAAAAAAUAUAUAUUUAAAAACAUGAAAAGGGAAUCAGCGGGUCACAUCGUUGACUAUGCUUGAGGGAAAAUGCCGGACUUCACCGGCAUUCCUGCACGUGGUCCACGAGGUGAACUGCACCUCCUCGUGGACCGCCUGAAGAAGAGAGAAUAUUGGACCUCUCUCUCCCUCUUUGCAUAUAUAUAUAUAUAUAUAUAUAUAUAUAUAUAUAUAUGCUUUUUACUUUAAAUAUAUUUAAAUUUUAGAAUUAACGACGUUAUUAUGUUCCAAUUGCAAUAUUUGCUGGUGGACAAAUCUGAGCCUUAUAAAAUGCAUAGAAUUUUCAGUUUUUAUAAGCUUUUACUUAUAAUACAGGCAACCAUUUUUACUUAUAAUACAGGCAACCAUUUUCAGUUUUUAUAAGCAUGCAAAAGUUGGAUGGCCUAUAAUACAGGCGACCAUUUGCUAGAUUUUUUGUUCAACUUUUUUUCUACGGUCCUUGCAUAAGAUCUUAGAAAGUACAUAUUGUAACAUACCAGAUUUUGAUAUAAAAAUAAAAAUAAAUAAAAAUAGUAUGAAUAUUUUUAUUGGAUUUAUAAAAGUAAAACAUAAGUCGUAAGUGACUUGUGCUGAAAUCGGAAUGAAAACAGAAAAUCUAGAAUUUUCUGUUGGAAAUGGGACAGAUAAAUUAGCAGAAAAUACACAGUCUCAGAAAAUUAUGAAAAUUGGAGGAUAAGUCAGAAAUAUUUUUGUGAGGCUAGAUUUAAAGUUUCAUAUUUUUCUGACACCCGUAGAGUGAGAAAUAAAAUCCGACAGCUAUCUGAUAAAGAUUACAGUUCGGUACAGUUUUCGGUGACCAAAUGGGGUCGAAACUAAAAAGUUAAAAUAUAUUCUUACUCAGUACGUUAAACUGAGCCUGCCUGUCAAAUUUGAGCUCAAACGGACAUUCAGAAGGGCUCCAACUAUUCCGAACUGCUAAACUGCCCUGGAGUGAAUAGUGUUUUGGGUGUUAAUGUAUAUAAGAAGCAAUGUGCUUCUUCUUCCUCUCCUUCAGCCCGAACACACACACGCACACUCAUGGAGAUAGAGAGAGAAACACCUCUACCUCUCUCUAGAUAUCUCUCUCAUCUCUCUAAAUCUCUCUCUAAAAAUUGGAGGGUUGGUGAAGAAGAUGCUUGCGAACGCGUUGGAGGCGACGGAUCGGCUUUCGUGCGGCCGUUGGAGCGGUGUGUUGUCGUCGCGGCGUUCACAUGGUGGUAAGCUUUUGGGAAUUUGGCUUAAUCCUUAGUUUUAAGUAUUCUAAUAGUCUCUAAUGAGCAUUGUUAGCAUGUUGCUCCAAUUAAUUUGGAUUAUUUGGUGGUUAAUGCAUGUUAGGACUCAAAAAUGCUAGUUUUGUAAAUAUGAGGGUUUGAUCUCAUUUGACCCUCUGUAAACCUAAUUGCUAGGUAAACGAGCACGUUGGCGAAGUCGGUUCGGCGAUUCGUCGAGCCGUUGCGAAGUUAUUAAAGAAAUGGACGUUUAGGCUUCAUUUCCACCUGGAGGGCCGAGGCGAUAUCGUAAAUUCAUGAAAAUGGAUUUGAAGCAUUGUGGCACAUAACCGAAGACCUUUAAUUUUCGGAUCAUGGAUUGGAGGCCGUUCGGGUGGUCGCGCGAGAGAUCGGGCCAAACCGGGUGCCGGGUGCCGCGGGAGGCCGAUUGCAAGUGUCGACAAGCAAUCGGAAAGCGAUUUGAGGUGGGUUGUGCUCACCGAAGCGACUAGGUCACUUAUAUGUCUAAGAGUAAUGGUUUUCUAAUUGAUGCAUAUAGUUGAUGUUACUUACUGUUGAGAUAAAAUGCAUAAUGACAUAUAAUGUGUUAAGUAUUAGAUGAAUGCAUGAGUUAAUUGUCACAUGAAUGCAUGAAAAUAAUGUUAUAGUAAUAUGUUAGAGGUAAUAUGCAUGUUUGUGGAAUAUGAUGAAUGAGUGCAUGUUGAUUUAUUGUAGAAUAUACUAGAUGAAUGUAUAUUGACAUAUUGUGGAUUAUGUUAAAUGACACAUGCAUGUUGAACUUGGGUCGAUAAACUCUAGGUGAAUUAGAGAACUCGACAUUGGAAAACAAUGACGUAUGAACUAUGAUAUGUGACGUGGACAAUCUAUAUAUAUUAGAUCGAGUGGCAUAUGAUUAGUAUAGUAGAAACACUUAUGGCAUGUUGAAUACUUAGAAAACAAGUGUGGCAUGAGUCCAAGAAUAUAGUAGUGUAUAUGACACAAGUGAUAGUAAAGAAUGCAAAGAAAAGAAUGAUGGAAAUAUUAUGACAUUUCAACCCUAGAGUUAGGGUCAUUUGAGCAUAGUCUUCCUAAAGUUAAGGAAUGGAUUGAACUUGACAUCCUCAAGAUUUUGGAUUUGAUCAUUGAUCAUACUCACCUUUAGUCCUUGCUCGAGGUUGUGGUAGCUCCCCCUCGGGCGAUGUGCUCCGGAGUCGACAUCACUGGGUUGUAGCGGGUAUCUCCCCAGAGGACGGUCCCACCGGGUUGUAGCGGGUAUCUCCCCGGUUAAUGGGAUUUUGGGUUGGUGAGUUUGUUGAGGGCGAAACCUUCGGAUUAGCCAAGAGAUUGGGUAACAAGCACAUGAGCUGUAAUAAUAUCCUAGUUGAGUGGACUUAAGGCUGAGGUGCAAGUGAGACGUCCUUCGCCUCGAGCCUGCCUUUGCGCGGUACUCCGCGAAUGAUUGACUUGAAACCGAGUUGGGUGGAUAGUCGAUAAAGGUAAAUGAGACCCUAUGAUCAGAAUGGUAAUUGAUAUGAGUUUAAAAUAGAGAAAUAACUUCGAGGUCAAUUGAAUGAGCUAUGAAUAGCAGGAUUAAAGUAGUUUCGAUUGAACUACUAAUUGAUUGCAUAAAUCGCAUGAUUUUCAUAUUGCAUGGUUGUCAGGCAUGACAUAUAUUUCAAUUAUCGCAUAUAUAUAUCUGUUGGAUAUUUGUUGGACUAACAUGUUGCGGUGCCUCCCUUGGACCUAUUGGUCGAGCUUUUCCUUUGGGUGGCCGUACCCACUGGGAACUAUGAAGUUGGUUCUCACCCCACGUUGUUUUGAGGUGUUACAGGUUCACACGUGAGCGGCGCAGCGGCGCAAGGCGAGGGCAUAGCUCCAUAGUUAGCGCCCUACCACCGAGACCAGAGAUAGCGGUACCCUGAGUCGGAUUUGCUUAGGGAUGUAAAGAAUAAAAAGAAUGAAGUUGUAAUAAUCAUGUUAAAUCCGAUUGUAUUUGGAAGUUAAGUGAAAGCUAGUGUAAGAAUCAAAUGAGAAUUGUGAUGUAAAAAUAUAUGAAUGUGAAUGCAUGUAAUAACAUAGGAUGUGUUAUGUUGUUUGAUACCUUCCAUUAUGCAAUCUUUGAUUGAAAUAUGUUCCUGGUUGGAACUUUAUACAUUGUAUUGAUUGUAACGCCUUGAAUGUACAGGGGAGACUCUGUCCGCGGUACAGGAAAAACUCUGUCCGUUCGGCGAUCUGUCGGCGGCGCCGCGACCCGGCCAAAUAGGCGGGCGGUCGCGGGGCGUGACACAUAUCGUGUUAAUUUCUGCAGAAAACAAACCAUAAGUAGGCAGUAGAUACCUUUUGUCUAUGCUCAAUGUAAUUAACGAAAAAAAAAGUUAGUCAGUUUUUGUUUGAAACUUGCUAUUGCUUAGCCGUAGUACUUUUCUCUAGGUUUAAUGGUCAGUUUUUGUUCAGUACUUAAUUAUGUACUUACCUUUGUGGCUUUGUUCUGGUUGAGUUGUAAAGGAGACUUUUCUAGUUGUUGCUUUAUGUGCUGCUAGACAAGCAGUUCGUCCUGUACUGCUUAAUUAUGUACUUACCUUUCCUAUGCUAGAUUAAGAUAGGUCGUAUUUGAUAAUGUCUUUGUGGGACUGAGGAGCGGUUUUAUUAUGACUUUUAUUUUGUUUACUUUUGUAUGUGAUUGAAGCUUCCAUUUAAAUUAUAUUGUUGCUAUAUGGAUGUUUGACUCUGUUCAGGUUGAUUGGAUGUAUUUCUAUGCUUAAGACACCUAGUUUAGUGCUUUACUCCAUUUUUUGUCUAUGGUUAAAUUUCCAAUUUGCCAGCACGUUUAACUAUUACUCAAUUAGCUCCAAGAGUUAUCGAAGCACAAAUUUUUACAGGAAGUCAUGCCGGCAAAAAAGUUUAUAUCCCGCGCAUCAUAACAUAUGUAACGGAGACAAAAUGGUCAUUUGUUUUGAAACAAAGACAAUUUCCUGUUCGUGUAUGUUAUGGCAUGACGAUCAAUAAAAGUAAAGGACAGACUCUAGAACGAGUUGGCAUUUAUCUACCAAAGCCGGUAUUCUCACAUGGCCAGCUUUAUGUUGGGGUUUCUCGAGUUACCUCACGGCAGGGCCUGUGUAUUUUAAUUGAUAGUGAAGAUGAUAAACUCGAAGGAUAUACAAGAAAUAUUGUUUUCUCAGAAAUUUUUGAUGAUUUGCAUUUAUAAAGACGCUGUUUGUUAUUCUAUUAGAAUAUCGCGCUAUACAAAAAUUAACGUAUAUCACUAUUUUUUCUGUUUUAUCACUUUUCUUAUUUUUCAGAGCUAUAAUUCGACUUUCUUAUUUUAUUGUAUUUUCAUUGCAGAAAAUUAUUGCGGCAUGAAAUUUGUCCUUCUAAAACAACUCAGUUUGACGCAGCAGCACUGUAAGAUUAGGGUCAGAGUUAGUAGAAUAUGGGAAUCAACGACGCCGCUGAAUAAGAAUAAUAUUUUAAGCUUAGACUGUUUGCUCAUAGAUGAUGAGGUUGUGAUAAAUUUUAUAUGAGCAAAAUUUACCGGUGAUGCCAUUUGCUUUUUUGCAAUCUUACUAUAAACAUAUAUUACUUUUUGUAGGAAUAUGCGAUGCAGGCUACUGUUCGGAAAUACGAUGCAGAACACUUUAGGUCGGUGCUUUCCGAAGGUACUGUGUACAUCUUUGAAAACUUCAAUGUUGUGCCGAGCAGAAAUAAUUAUAAAGUCGUUGAUCGGAAAUAUAUGGUGCAAAUAAGUAAAUGGACGCGUGUACUCAAAACAAACGACGCUGUCAGUUCUAUUCCGCUUCACAGUUUUUACUUCAUCGACUUUGGUCACGUGAAAACCAAAAAAUAAAAUGAUGGUUGCCUGAUAGGUAUUAAUAAUUUACUUUAUUAUUUAUAAUUAGUUUUACUAUUAAGCUUAUAUUUAUUGCAUUAUAUUUAACCAAUAUAACCAUAAUUAUGUAUUGUUUCAUUCCUCAGAUGUUCUCAGUAGUGUUACAUCUAUUGCUCCUCUUUCGCAUACAUAUGUUGCGCAAGAACUAACUGCAAUUAGGAAAUUAGAAAUCCGAGAUAUAGAGUAAGUUCUAAUUUUUAAUUCAAUUCUUUUAUAGCUUAGUUUUUUUUCCAAACAAUAAUUUUCUGAUCAUGUUUUUAUGAAUACUUUGUAGUGAUCAGGUUAUGUCGGUAACGUUAUGGGACAAGUUUGCUCUCUAUUUUGACGACGAUCUUCUCAAGCAAAAAGAAGUUAAUGGACCAGUUGCGAUUGUUUUGGCAAGUAUGACUGUACGCACAUAUCGAGGUAUACUAAAUGAAUAUUUAUAUUUUCUAACUUAUAUUGGAUGAUAUUUUAAUAUUGGUUAUUUUUCUAAUACUUUUUAUUUGUAUAUUAGAUAAUGUUUACCUAUCAACUUGCCCAGCAUCAAGACUUUACCUUAAUUUAGAAAUACCAGAAGUUGUACAAUUCGAGAGCAAUCUGCGCAGGUAAUAAAUAGUAUAUUAUUUUUUCUUUAUUUGUCAUACUAAUAUUUGAGGUACCAUACUAACAAUAUGUUUGUCUCUAGAAAGCAAACAUCGGUUGUACCAAUUCAGCGUAUUGAAUCUGAUGAUAAACCACUUCUUUCGCCGCUCGAACAAAUGACGCAGCAUCGUAAAACUAUUGCUGAAUUAAUUAGUCCAAACCUACGUGAAGAACAAGGGAAAAUAGUUUGGUACUGUUAUCAAUUAUUAAAUUGCUGCUAUGUUUUAUUAUGUCACUUACUUGAGUUUUCUUGCUGUCUACUUUUGAUUUAUAAAUAUUUCUAUAUUAUGUUUUAUGUUGACUUAAUUUGUCCAAAUCCACUUGAAGAGCAAGAAAAAAUGGAGUGAUACUGUUAUGUUUGCCUCUAGAAAGCAAACAUUGAUUGUACCGAUUCAGCGUAUUGAAUCAGAUGAUAAACCACUUCUUUCGCCGCUUUAACAAAUGACGAGGUAUCGUAAAACAAUUGCCGAAUUAAUUAGUCCAAACCUACCUGAAGACCAAAUAAGGAAAUCAGUUUGAUACUGUUAUCACUUAUUUAAUUAUUGCUAUAUUUUAUUAUGUCGCUUACUUGAUUUUUCUUGCAUUCUACUUUUGAUACAUAAAUGCUUCUAUAUUAUGUUUUAUGCUAAAUUAAGUUGGCCAAACCUACCUAAAGAGCAAGAAAAAAUGGAGUGAUACUGUUAUGCAUGCCUCUAGAAAGCAAACCUCAAUUGUACGGAUUCAGGGUAUUGAAUCUAAUGAUAACCCACUUCUUUUGCCGCUUGAACAAAUGACGAACCAUCGCAAAACUAUUUCUAAAUUAAUUAGUCCAAACCUACCCGAAGCAAAUAAAGGAAAAUAGUUUCAUACUAUUAUCAAUUAUGUCUUUCUUUAUUAUGUUUUAUACUGAAUUAAUUUGUCCAAACCUAACUGAAGAGCAAAGAAAUAUGUAGUGCUACUGUUAUCAAUUAUUAAAUUGCUGCUAUGUUUUCUUAUGUCGCUUACUUGACUUUUCUUGCUAUUUACUUUUGAGAUAUACACGUUACUAUGAAAUUAAUUCUUUCUGUAUUGUUCUAAAAUGUUAGGGUGCUAAAUAUACUUGCAAAGCCAAAUUAUUAUGUCACGACCCGACACCGUCAAUUUGGACAGUUCGGGCCCAAAACAGACCCGCCGGACGGACAGAGUUUCCCCUGCCCGCCCGAAGCGUAACAAAGUCUAUGCAUACAUAUCCAACAAGAGAUGUUAGCAUUCAACAUUGAGAGAGGCAAUCACAGAUACAAGAGAAUUUAAACUAUCCAUUACAUCACUUGUUCACACACAAGAAACAUUACAUAUUUCACUUGACUUCUCAUACAUACAACCAAAACGCCAUCCCUCAAAUACAUUACAUUUCUUCACAAAAGGGUUUUACAUAUCAUUCUUUUCUUUUUAUACUCGAGGGUAGUGAGCUAAUGCCGGUGAUCCACUCUAUCUACUGCGCGACGCCCUUGCCGCGAUCCUCGACACACGCGCUCGAACUAGGCUCUGCAAAACAGGGUGUGAGAACUAUUAUCCAUAGUUCCCAGUGGGUUCGGCCGCCGACCCCGCCGAUUUUCCCACUAGGUCCAAGAAAGGCAUAGAAACAAUAAAGAGGUCAACAUGUCAAAGGAAUAAUAGAUAUAACAAUAAGCCUACCUUGCUCAUCCACAUCUAUAUCAUGCUCAAAUGUGUAGCUAUGCCUUUACCAAUGAUGCAAUCAUGUCAACAAGUAUAUGUUUAAGUUCUGUCAUGUAUGCAAACUAUAUACGAAAUGCCAUGAUCAUGCCUAUGUCAAAUCCAAACGAUUCGCCCGAAGGUCGAAUCACUCGCCACACAUACUGUCACGCGACCGUGACCGUCUGCCGAGGGCGCACCGUAGUGACUCUCUCCCCCGUUCCAAUCUCAAUGUGAUUCAACUCCGGAGCUCACUGCUUGGGAGGAGCGACCAUCCACAAGCUAUAACAGACAAUGCGAGUAUGAUCAAGUCCUCUCAUUCGAGGGCCACGGGAGUACCAUAUCCCUAUCCUCACAAGGCAUGCUUUGCUCAGGUCGGCCACAUAUGCAUUAGUUUCCAAUUCUCACAAGGUCAUUGGUUUACAUACUAGUUCUUCAUGAAUCUAGUCUAUUCUUACAUCAUAUUCACAUGCAUAUGUCCACUAGCAAUUCAUACAACAUGUACAAAUAUUUAUAUUGGCAUCAUAUAAAAGUUCUCAUGCAACAUACAUGUCCACAUCUAUCUCAACAUCAUGCAAAUAAAUAUUCCUACAAGUAUCAUGCAAUCAUGGAUUAUUAUCCCUCACACUAAGCAUGAAAUUACCACAACUCAUAGGAUUCUCACUAUUCUAUGCAUGAUGAUAUAUGAUCAAUAAAAGUAGAACUUAGACAUAGAAUGAAACUCGGCUAUUUCGGAUAGCACCCCCCACCUCGUGAUGUCGACACGAAGUGAAUAGCCUAGCAGCGCAAUUUACAGCCGUUGUUUUCUUCCAACUGCGACAAAUGAAGCAAAAAAUAGAAUUUUCUUCACCUUGACCACCACCGGCUCAAUGGAAUCUCAAUCCGAAUGAUCCUCUGCGUCGGUUUUACCUUCAAUUGCGGAAACAUAUGAUCAAUUGAGAUUAAAACCUCUCAUGAUCAAGAGCUCUCUUUCAAAAUCCUAGAGGUCACUAUUGCAAUAAUACACUAUAUAAAUUCAUGAUUCAAGCAAAUAGCAACCUAACAUUAACUAGGAUUUCCAUCAAGCUAGAUUCUAAGAGAUUUAAACCCAUCUCUAGCUAUAUGCCAUUAGAGCCCAUGAAACUUACCUUAAACAAGCUUUCUUCUCUAAUCCAAGUGAAGAAGAUGAAGAAAGUAGCUCAAUUCCAAGCCUUCUUCUCUACCAAGCUUGCUUCACCACCAAGCAAAUUCUAAUUUUUCUUUCUUCUCUAAUCCUCUCUUUGGUAAAGAGAACCAAAGAGAAAGAGAGGUCAUAAAGUCAAAGAGAAAAAGAGAGAAAACCCACCCUCUCUCUCUCCUACGGUUUGGGUAAAAGGUCAAGGAUUCACUCACACUCAUAGGAAACUUGCCCUCCAAGUAAACCCUUGAUUUGCACAAUUACACUUUAGUCCCUCUCAUAACAUAGGGAGACUUGCCCUCCAAGUAAACUCUUUUACUUGCACCAUUACACCUUAGCCCCUCUCAUUUGCACAAUUUUAUAUAUUUUUAUUUACUCUUAUUUCUCUAUUACAAAUUCGGUACACUACAUAUUAACUGUUGAUACAACAUAUGGUUGGUUGUACAAGGCAUGUUACGAUUGUAAAGGAGCAGUAAAGAAUUACGACGAGAAUUUUUGGUGCGGUCAAUGUGGGAAAAACGAACGCGCACGUAUACCAUGGUACAAAUUUAGGAUUAAAAACUUUCCAUACUGUUGUUUAAGCAAGCCUAUUUUGUUUGUCGCAUUUGACUAUUGUAUCACUAAUACAUUAGGUACAAACCGAAUACUGUUGUUAAAGAUGAAACCGAAUCUGCAGAUUUUAUAAUUUUUGGCAAGGUAGCACAGGAUUUGAGACAUAUGCCUGCCCAGCAAUUAGCAAUUGCAACCAAUUCAGACAGAUUUAUGCUACCACCUAUUGUGAAAAAUAUUAUUGGUCACUUUUAUAUUUUUCAAAUAUUGCCGGAUAAUCGUCGGUCAAGUAUGAAUCUCACAUCAUUCCGUGUCACCAAAAUAUUUUCUACUGACUUAGAAGUCAAAGGAAAAAAAAAGAACACGCAGAUAGUGUUCAAGAGAUUGAAGAAGAUGUUGUUGAAAGUUCAAUUGCUGUUAAAGAAAACGAUGACGCCAUCGAAGAAAUAUCUCCAACCCAGUUACUACAGUCAACGUAAGAAUAAUAGUAUUAGUUAUUAACCUGCUUUUCUGCCGGUUUCAUAUGUUAAUGUAUUUUAUUUUUUCUCAGCAGUUCGCAAUCAAGUGCAGCAAUAUUUAAUUCAAGGAAGCAAAAAAGAACUUUUAGGUAACAAUAUUUUGAACUUUACCAUGUACUAAUUCUAUCAUUUUACAAGUUCUUUUUUUCCUCCAAUAAAAAAUAAUAUGAAUACUUUUUUUGUUAUCACAAUUGUGUUGAGCAUUCUGAGUCGGAGGAUGAAUAAAGAUGAGGUUCUUCAUGCUGAUUACGUUACUAUAUAUAUAUAUAUAUAUAUAUAUAGGGAUUUCUUAUGAAAACUCGCCGUCGUUACUUCUCUUUUAUAGUCAUCACAGGUUUUUGGUUUGUCCUUGCAAAAAUUGCCUGCAAUUGCAUAGUUUUUUGGUUUUGGUUUUUACGAGAAUUGCUGCAGCAUGUGCAGGUGUAUCUGGUUACUAUAAUAUAUAUAUAUAUGUAUAUAUAUAUGUAUAUAUAUAUACAUAUAUAUAUAUACAUAUAUAUACAUGUAUAUAUAUAUAUAUAGCGAAUUCUUAUGAAGACUCGGCGUCGUUACUUCUCUUUGGCAGUCAUCAUAGGUUUUGGGUUUGUCCCUCGGAUAAUUGCCUGCAGUUGCAUAGUUUUUUGGUUUUGGUCUUUAGGAACGUUCCUGCAGCAUGUACAGGUACAUCUGGUUAAUAUAGCUACGUGGUUAUCUAAUGCAGCCACUAAUUGGUUCCUAAUGCUCCUGCGACAUAACUCUUUGCUGCUAAGAAUAGACUAUGAUGGAAAAGAAUACGGACUUUUUGGAUUAUGUAAGCAACAAAAACAAACUGGGUUAUAGAAAGCUGGACAAACUUUGUUAUGUGUUCUUCUAGUUUACUACUUAAUUAUGUGCUUGCUUUUUAAUGUUUGUUUUUUCGGUCUGGAAGAUUAACCGGUGUUUUAUUCACUUUUUACCCUUUUUGAUUUUGUUAUCACAUUAUUCUCCUCCGUACUAUUGAUAUUACCAUUCAGCAGUGUUUGAAAAUGAAGUUUGGAUAUUUUAUUGCCCUUCGUUAUAUUCAUUGUCAGGUCCUUCCAAAAGUUAUGCUGCAUGUAAUGUGAAAGCUUUUGUCUUUGUUGGAUUCGUGAGGCUCUAAGUUUAGUUCCGAUUAGUUCUAAACUUGGGAAUUUUUUUUGGCCUGCGUUUCUUCUCAGUUUUCGAUUUUUUUUUCCUAAGUGUCCUGUCUAAGAGCUUCUCAUUUCUGAAUUUUGCUUAUCUGCUGUAAAGCAAUACUAGAUUAAGAUAGGUCAGAAUUGAAGAUUAUUAAUGCUUUUGUGGAUUGACGACUGCUUUACUCCAUUUUUUAUGAAUACUUAAUACACACUGCCUACUAUCUUAGUGAUUUACUCCAUUGACAGGAAUUCAUCUUUGGGUUCUUAUAUUGAUUGAUGAUUGCCCUUUACUUAUGUUUCCACGAUUUCCCAGUUUAAUUUUGCUUAAAUUGUGUCACUUAUUGCCUCAUAGAGUACAAAGCUACACCUGAUUAAUUGAUUUCAUUUUUACUAUAACAUUUAUCAGAUCAAGGGUACUUCAGAUGGUAUAUAGAAGUGUUUAGGUAGAUUCGUGGUGGGACAUAAUGUAGAGCCUUACUUUUUUCUCAUGUAUUUGAGAGUGGAGCUAUAGAAUGUCAUAUCUAGAGCAUGUCUUGAUUGGUAGAAGGCCCCUACGCACACAGGAGAUGUUUUUGCUAAAUUGUUAACUCUUUGUUUUCCUAAUCUGGCAUUUAACAUUUAAUUACAACCAUUAGGGACUGGUAUUAUUUGAGAGUGGAACUAUAGAAUAUCAUAUCUAGAGCAUGCCUUACUUGGUAGAAAACCCCUACGCACACAGGAGACGUUUUUGCUAAAAUGUUAACUCUUUGUUCUCCUAAUCUGGCAUUUAACAUUUGAUUACAACCAUUAGGGAAUGGUAUCUAAUAUUAAUUUGCAUUCAAAUUUUAAAUUGAAUUUUAAAAUAAAUUUAAAUUCUCAUUUCGAACGUAAAUUUUGUGAAGUUUGAUUUCAAUUUUUUUUUUGGUUUGAUUUUGAUAUUUGAAUUUGCAUUCAAAAUUAAAAUUUUAAUUUAAAGUAAUAUUAAUAGCUAUAAUAAUUUACUAUUGUAUUAUACUAUUUUAUUGUCUUCCCGCCGCAUCGCGCGGGUCCCGUACCUAGUAUUGGAUUAAGACAUAGCUAUGUAAAACAACUGAUAUCAGAUGGCAUAAUUACCAUUGAUUUUGUAAGAUCAAACCAAAAUCUUGCGGAUCCGUUGACUAAGGGACUUCCAAGAGAAUUGAUAUUCAAGACAUCAAUUGGGAUGGGUCUCAAGCCCAUAUUACAAAGUCACCAAUGAUGGAAACUCGACUUAACACUUGAAACAUCAUCAAGUCUUAAGUUCAAUGAGCCAAAGUACAUCAUAUAGAGUGUUUGCAAGUAUUAUAAUAUAAAAUUUCCAUCCCAAGUAAAGUGCUUGGUAUCCAUAUUGAAAAGGGAAGGUUGAGCUAAUAAAGUUCUUAAUAGACUGUAUUUACUGAAGUGUUAAAUACGGGACACUUCUGGUAGAGUCUACCUAUAUGAAUGUGAAGUGUGGCCGCUUCUAGGAGUUAAGGGCUUGACUCUAACAGCAUUCAUGAAACAGAAUGCAGACACAAGGCCAUAAAAGUGUCAGCAAUAAAAUAAAGUCUCAAUUGAUUAUAAAUUUCUAUGUGUGAGAUAUGUCUAGUUAGUCGAAAAUAAUUGUUGGUUCAAAGCUUGUCUACCAUUCAAUUAUGACUAACUUUGAGGUGUUUUCACGAAGUGUAGGUUCAAGUUUUAAUACACCUACACCUAUGCAUAUGAUUUUGUCAAGUUGUCAAGAAUUUCGAUUUUUGAUUUUUGAUUUUGUUUUAUUUUUCAUUUUGAUGUAUUUUUAUGUAUUUUAAAAAUUGGUGGGGAAUUGUAAGAAAAUUUUUAAAAUAAUAUAUUUUGUUUAUUGAUUUUUAGUGAAUGGAUGUGAUCCUUAGUGAAUGGAUGUGAUCCUUAGUGAAUGGAUGCAACCCUUAAUGAAUGGAUGCAACCCUUAGUGAGUGGAUGCAACCCUUAGUGAGUGGAUGCAACUCUAAUCAAAGGGUGUGAUUCUUAGAGUGAAAGGAUGUGACUUUUAGUAAAAUGAUAUGACAUGAAAAGACACAUCUUUAUAGUGUGUCUCUUCGAGUAUAUGUCCGUUGGAAUUAAUUCUUACAUUCAUUGAACUUGACUCAUAAAACUAAUUGGUAGUUAUGAUCAAAUAAAAUGUCACAAUUGAAGGGAUACUUCAUGAAACACCCGCUCAUGAAUAGUCACUUCAUGAAGCACCCGUUUGUGGUCUAUAUAAGUCCACAGCGUUGGUUGCAGAAAUAGAAGAAGAAACAGUUGAAGAGUUUAAGUCUCCAUUCAUAAUAAUUCCAUUUCUAUUUUCUUAUUCAUUUUGGCAACUUAAUCGAGUGAGUGCUCAAAGGCUCAACUUCGUAUGUGCAAACGUAGUUGAGGUUUAUCCUUCAUUGUAUCCUGGGAGGUUGUUCGUUGACCCGGUGCACACCAAAUUGUUAGAACGGUGGGGACGGAUUAAGCCUUAAGAAAAGUGGCAUUGCUACACGCCUUAAAGCCUUUUUCAUCUUUCUAUUUCAUACCUUUUUUCACUAUCUGAUCCAACAUAUAAUAAUUAUUAAAAAAAAUAUAAGCAAUAGGGUGGCGAAGACGAUGAUGUUAGUAUCGUCCUUGCUGAGAGCGCAAAAAGUGUCGCAAAGAGGGCGGCUGGCGAAGGCGACGGCAUUAGUGUUGUCCUUGUCGAGAACACGGGAGGCAUCAUAGAGGGGGGUGCUAUAUAUAAUAUCAAUACUAACAAAAUAGUAUUAGGAGGUCCCAUAUCUACCAAUUUUGUGAACAAAAUUAUAUUCAACUGUGAUAGAAUUAAAAAAAAAAAAAAUGCCACCAUUUUUGAACCUAACUAAAUUCCAAAUAAUAAAACACAUUAAAAAACAUUUAUUCUUAAUAGUGGAAGAGGACUCUGUGGCACAUGCACGAAGCUCAUAUUGAAAACUUCCAUGCCUCCUCCUCACCCCACCAUUGCCUUGAUCGACGACUCUACCAUUGUUGCCUUCGGUGAUGGCGACGUUGACAACGACAACGACCCUUUAGGCGGCGGCGGAUGCCACGGUGUCUAGAAAAAAAGGUGAGGAAGAGAGACUAUCAUUUACAGAGAAGAAGGAAAAGAAAAGGAAAAAAAUAAAGAAAGAGAAUAGGUAAGUGUGGAUGGGAUGGUAUAAUUGAUGACAAAUUUAUAUGGCAGCAGGGAAAGAAUUGGAUGCAUUAAGUGGAAGAUCAACAGACGGGAAGGCAAAGGGUUGGAAGUUCAGAUUUGAAGGUGAAAAAAUAGACACAUUAAUUAGUAUUUUAUGGAAAAAGGAAGAGUUGCUACAAGUGAAAAUAAAAAGAGAGAAGUAUUAAAUAAUGGGUCUCACAACCCACGAUUAAGGCUAGCUUGUUAUGUGGAUUUAGGUUUGGAGAUUAAUAAUAGUUUAUAGAUAUAGAUAUAGGGGGUGUUUGGCCUAGCUUUUAAAAAGCGCUUUUGGGCUAAAAAGUGAUUUUCGGCUCAAUAGAGCGUUUGGCAACUCAUUUUUAAAAUCUGAUUAUGCUUUUUAGAAUCAUAAAACUGAUUUUGAAGGCCCAAAAUCAGAAGCAGAAAAAAGCUGCUUCUUGAAUCUGAUUCUGAUUUUAGAUUUAAACUUCAAAUUUUAAUUUUAUUUUUAAUUUCAAUAUUUAAAUUUAAUUUAAAUUUUAAAUUUUAAAUUCUAAAUUUAAAGUUUGAAAAUUUAAUUUUAAUUUAUAUUUUUAUAUAUUAAAAUUUAUAUUUUAAAAUUCAUAUUUUAAAAUUCAUAAUUAUACAUAUUUUUAAAUUUAUAUUAAUAUUUUUAAAUUUUAAAUUUCAUAAUUAUUUUAAAAUUAUGAAAUUUAAAAUACCGCUGGCGUCUUCAGAAGAAGAAGAAGAAGAAGGGGUAACCCAACGAGAACACCGCUGCCGAUAACUGGUAAUGGCGCACCGAUCCCUCUCCUAACUCUAGAUCUUUGUUUCUCCUUCUGUUCUGGAAACGCUAAUGAUGGCGCUUCUUCUUCGUCGGGGCAGGGGAAAGGGACGGGGAGCUUCGGUAAGCGGAGGAACAAGACGCACACGCUCUGCGUGAGGUGCGGCCGCAGGAGCUUCCACCUCCAGAAGAGCCGCUGCGCCUCCUGCGGCUAUCCCGCCGCCCGUAUCCGCAAGUGUGAGCGUCCCUCCCUCUAUCUCUCUCUAGAUCAUAUUCUAAUCAUUUUGAUAGAUUCCUUUGGAUCCGGUAGCAUCUGAUGUAGUUACUUGUAUUCUCAUCUCUUGGAUGCAAAGCUGGUGGAUUGGAUAAUUUCUCUCUCUCUCUCUCUUUCUCUUUUCAUUUUGUUUUUUUUUUUUUAAUGGAAAAUGCUUUUAGAUACUUGAUUAUUUUGAUAUUGUCUGUAACUUGGGAGGUUAUUGGAUCUUAUCUCUUAGCAUUUGAUUCCAUGUGAGAGGAUGGAUGUGAUGGAUUUUUUCUUUUUUGUGUAGACCAGUUCUGUAAAUGUUUGAUUGAUUAAAAAAAAACAAAAAAUUACUGUUAUAUGGGAAAAGAUACUGGAUAUUCCUAGAGAGUUGAUGCCGGUUGUAUGAUUUGAUUUUGAUUUUCUGCUGGUUGUAUGUUUUAGGACUGGAAUUUUUCUAAAUUUUAAAUAUUUCACUGUAGGAAGACACUUUAAGUAUCCUUUUUAGCUUAUGUAAUUGUAAUAUCUCUUCUGUUUACUUUAUAAACCUUUUGCUGAUGCUGUGGUGUUAGGGUGGUGAUUGAUAUCAACUUAGCCCCUGUGAUGUAAAUGAUUAAUACCUUUCUUUACAAGAUAUUACAGUGAUGAACUUAGUUAAAUUGUUUAGUUCUAUUUUUGUAGUGAACUUAGUCAAAUUGUUUAGUUCUAUGUUAGGGAUAACCUGAUAGCAUGCUUCUGGAAGUUAUUGGAUCAUUUGAGCUCCUUUGCAGUCGCGCAUUAAUUAUUUGAGUCUGACUGACUCCAUGAUUUGUUUUCCUUAUAGGUUUUAUGGGGCACAUCAGGACAAUGCAACUUAUUUUAAAAUCCUUGUCCAAGGCCACUGGAUAAUUAACUUGACCCUAGAUAGUUAACUUGCCUAAAAUAUUCAGAUUGUGAAAACUCAUUUGUUUGAUGAGCACAUAUGACUAAUCUGAAGUAAGCUGAUGGUAUGCACAGAUACCUUUUGACUUUGUCUUUCAGAAAGGCACAGCAAAAGGUAGGCCACGAGCCUGCUCAAACUUUCUGAUUCGAGUUUUUAAACUUCACUUCUCAAGUGUUAUUCUUUCCUCUGCUUGUUAUAGAUUCUAUUAGUUUGUUCAAAAGUAUUGUUGUUGAUUGUACUUUUGGGUCUAAGUUACAAAAAUAUCAAAUUAGUUUUGACCUCUCAUUCAUAUUAGGUUGUACCACCUUUAUAUGCUAAGUCUUAAAUUUCUUUUCAACUAGGACUUAUAGAAUAUAAACUGUUGGGAACUGGAUGAAUCGUCCGUCAUGCGCUACUAACAAAGAUGCACGAAAAAUAGAGAAAAUCGAAUGAACGGUAAAAGAAAUAAAUGCAGAAAGAAGAAACCAAGAUUUACGUGGUUUGGCAAUUGCUUACGUCCACAGGAAGAGCGACAGAGAUGUAUUCCACUAUAUGAAGCAAUAGAAGUACAAUCUUACACCUUAUGUCUUCUUCGAAUAAAAACCAAGAGCCUUAUGGUGAAUCCCACCUUUCUCUUGUUCCAACGAAAACUCCAAGAAAAUACCGAAAAAGCUUUUCGUAAAAUCGAGAAGACCAAAUUAGAGAAGUAUAGAAAACUCUAACCAAAAUCCUUUAUGCCGUUGCUUCGAAGAAUCCGAACCGCUCAGGCAAUUUGGUCGAGAACCGCCGCUCCGUGAUGCAGCAAAUAAAUCUCGUUUUAUUUUCGAAUGCAAUUUUCUUUUAUUUUGUAGGUUUGUGUUUGAUUCGGACUUAAAUCAUUUAGUUUUAGUUGAUUUGGCUAACCCAAAAAAACAAUUUCCCAAAAAGAAGCCUUUGAAAUUUCCAAAAUUCCUUCGUUUUCUAUGCAUGACUCUUGGAUGACUGUGUUGUGUUGAAAACGAAAAGACAAUAAUUUAUUAUCGGAGGGCUCUCAAUACUAUAAAUACAUGGUUUUUGAAGCCUUAAGAUAUAAUUUUAGAUGAAUAGAAAAUUCUACUCACUCUUUAUCCUUGGUGUUCUACUUUCCGGUGAGAUCAUCGACGCUUCUUCCUCGCGCCGAGAUCUUCUUCCUCGACUUGAUCGUUGUCACUUCUUCCUCGUGACAAGAUCGGCUUCUACUUCUACCUCUCCUUUGCUUCCAAGUUACUACUUUAUCUUCUUCUUCCCCGUUGUCGAAGUUCUACUCGUGGUGUACCGCCCUCCUCGUCGAUCGUGGACCCUCCGCAAUCGUGUGAACGGUACACAUUUUGUAUCUCUCAUUUCCUGAUAUUCUAUUAUUCCCUUUCAAUCUAGCCUUCCACCAUUACCAACCAUAUUUGCCAAACAACCAAACCUAAAACUUUAAAUCCGAUAAAGCCGAAUUUACCUUUUGGAACUAUUAUAUGUAUUUUCAGUUAGUUGUUAUUAUCUUAUAUAUCGAAGGUUUAUCAUCAUCUUAGUAUUGCUUCAAUUCUAUUUUAAUUUUUGUCUUGCUGAGAUUUUUGCUUCCUUGCUUUAAUUAUAGUAAAGUUCGCCUGAAUCGAUAAAUUGAACCUAGUUUAUUUUAAGAAAUACCUUUAAACAAAAGCAAACUUGAAAAUUCAAUUUUGACAACCUCUCGGUUUGCAUCACUUCGCUGCCAACUUCAAUCCGUUGCAUGCGUGUGGAAGCCACGCACCUUGAAGCACUACCGUACGGCUUCAAGAACUUAAUUAAUUAGCCUCUCUCUUUUUCUUGCUGUUGUACGGCGGUACGGCCUCAAGAAGAAAAGACCGGCCACCUUUUAAUUAGACUAUAAUUAAUUUUUGGCCAACACACAUUCAAGCCGUACGGUCCACAUGUAUAUAUAUAUAUAUAUAUGCAUUAGCUAAAUCCUACUCUAAUUCAAUGUAAUCAUUGAAUAUAGUCUUGUAUGGAAACCAAUCCUAGUCCACUUAGCUUCCAACUUAAAUUAGGAUCCACCAAUAAAAAAAAAAUCCUAAUGAGAUUCUUUUUAUUUUUCCAUAGACCCGGUGCAUGGACCAAACCAACAAAAAAGAAGGCAUAUCUUUAACAUUCUCCACCUUGACUUUUUGUUUACUUCAUUACUCCCUCUCAUCUGAUCGCCCCCUCUCCCCGAGGCAUCCCAGUCUCUAGCAGUCAAGCAAAUUAGUCAAGUUUAGACAGUGCCUAAACUUAUCCGCUGUUACCGGCUUUGUCAUGAUGUCAGCUACAUUAUCCUUCGUGGAAACCUUUAUAAGCUAAAUUUCUCCAUCAUCCUCAUUAGUGAGCUUCCGUAAUUUGUGAUACUUGAUUUCUAUGUGCUUUGUCCUCCCAUGGUAAACUGGAUUCCUGGCGAGACAUAUAGCACUCUGACUAUCACAACCGAUAAUCACUUUUUCCUGUAUGAUCCCGAGUUCACCAACCAAGCCUCUAAGCCAGACUGCUUCCUUAGCUGUUUCGAUUGCCGCCAUAUACUCUGCUUCUGUAAUUGACAAGGCUACAGUGCGCUGCAACGUAGACUUCCAACUGAUAGGUCCACCGCCCAGCAGAAAGACGUAACCUGUAAUAGACCUGCGCUUGUCCAAAUCACCUGCAUAGUCGGAAUCUACAAACCCCUUCACUUCAUCAUUACCAGAAUCUUUUGAGUAGACAAUAUCUUUAUCUAAUGUGCCCUUCAGAUACCGCAAAAUUCACUUCACGGCCUCCCAGUGUUGUUUUCCUGGAUUCGACAUAUACCGACUGACAACACUAACUGCAUGUGAAAGAUCAGGCAUAGUGCAAAUCAUAGCAUACAUCAGGUAACCGUCUGCACUAGCAUAUGGUAUCUUUGACAUAGAAGUAACCUCCUCAUCCGUCUUGGGACACAUCUCCUCAGAAAGUUUGAAGUGUUGGGCUAAUGGAGUCUUGACCGCCUUCGCCUCUGACAUAUUAAAUUGCUUUAUAAUAGCUCAUAUAUAUGUCUUCUAUGAUAGCCAUAACUUACUCUGUAUGCUGUCGCAUCUGAUCUCCAUACCUAGGAUUUUCCUAGCACCUCCUAGGUCCUUCAUGUCAAAUUCUCAGCUCAACUGAUUCUUUAAUUGUUGCACUUCAUCCGGAUUCUUAGCUGCUAUAAACAUAUCAUCAACAUAUAGCAUAAGCAGAAUAAACGAACCAUCUUCAAGCCUCCGAUAGUGAACACAACUAUCAUAUAAACUUCUGCUAUAACCAUGCUCGAUCAUAAACCCGUCAAACCGCUUUUACCACUGCCUCGGUGCCUGCUUCAACCUGUAGAGAUAUCUUUUCAGUUUGCACACUAGAUUCUCCUUCCCCGGCUGAACAAAACCUUGAGGUUGUUCCAUAUAAAUUUCUUCUACUAGAUCCCAAUGAAGAAAUGCGGUUCGAACGUCAAGCUGCUGAAGCUCUAAAUCAAACAUAACCACCAUAGCUAGAAGCAUCCUGAUUGACGUGUGCUUCACCACCGGUGAGAAGAUCUCAUUGAAAUCGACUCUCUUUACUUGCGCAUACCCCUUGGCUACCAACCGCGCCUUGAAUUUUUCUGGUUCUCCAUCUGCACCCUGCUUCUUUUUGUAGAUCCAUGUGCAACCUAUGGAUCUCUUCCCUUCCGGUAAUUGAAUUAGAUCCUAUAUUUGAUUCUUCUGUAGAGACUCCAUCUCUUUUGUGAUAGCCGUUAUCCAUCUGCCACUAUCUCUGUCCUGCAUCGCCUCCUGAUAGGAAGUGGGAUCAUCUGAUGUAAUUAAUAAGGCAUAAGAUACUACAUUCUCCAACCUGUACCGUAAAGGUGGACGAAUCUGUCUCCUUUCCCUUCCUUUAGCGAUAGAGUAGGGCUCUUCCGAAGUGCUUUCAAUCGAAUCGCUUUGUGUACUGCGAUCAUCCUGAUGGUGGGGUUGCUCCACCUGAUCAUCUACACCCUCUUGCCGCUCCACCUGGAUCUGCGUAGUUUUCGACUGUUCUUCAUGUUGAGUCUCCUGAUGAUCCUUACGCGGCAUUGCUUUUUUGUCAAAAACUACGUCUCUGCUAAUCACCUUCUUCUUGGCGAUAGGGUCUCACAGCUUGUAUCCUUUAACAUCCAUAUCGUAUCCAAGAAAUAUGAAGGGCUUUGACUUCGAAUCUAAUUUUGUGCGCUGAUUUUCCUGGAUAUGGACAUAAGCAGAACAACCAAAGACCCGUAAGAAGGAAUAAUCUGCAAGUUUACCUGUCCAUACUUCCUCCGGUGUUUUGAGUUCGAUUGCUGUGGCGGGAGAUCGAUUAAUAAUAUAGCACGCCAUAUCUACUGCUUCAGCCCAGAACUCCUUUGGCAAAUCUGCACAUAACCUCAUGGAUCUGGCACGUUCUAACAAUGUCCGGUUCAUUCUUUCUGCUACCCAUUUUGCUAUGCAGUACUUGGAACCGUGUAAUGACGUACAAUACCUUCAUCCUUGCAAAAUUUCUUAAACUCCCGAGAAGUGAACUCUCCACCAUUGUCCGUUCGAAGAACCUUGACCUGCUUUCCAGUUUGUUUCUCCACUUCAUUCUUCCAAUGUCUGAACUUUAUAAAUGCUUCAGAGUUUUCCUUCAUGAAGAAUAUCCAAACCUUACGGGGGAAAUCAUCGAUAAAUGUAAUAAAAUAUAGCGCACCACCUUUCGAAGUCACAGGAGCUGGUCCCCACACGUACGCAUGGAUGUACUCAAGUAUACUUUUGCUUUUAUGACUGGAGGUCCUAAAACUCAACCUUUUCUGUUUUCCAAAUAAACAAUAUUUGCAGAAAUUGAGUUUACAGGAUUUAAUACCUUUAAGUACUCCCCUUUUAUGCAGUUUCAACAUCCUUCUUUCACUCAUGUGGGCUAGUCUCAUGUGCCAUAGCUCCGUAUCAUCGCAUCAUGAUCUUCUGAGGAUGUUACUGCAACGCCUCCAAUCACCGACUCGCCGAUCAGCCUAUACAGAUUCCCUUUUUUCUCUCCUUUCAUGACGACCAUGGCACCCUUUUUAACUUGACGACUCCACCUGAAAUGCUAAUAGAAUAGCCAGUAGAGUCAAGAGUACCAAGUGAUAUAAGAUUCAACCUGAGAUCCGGAAUGUGUCUCACAUCCGUUAACGUCCUCACCACACUAUGAAACAUCUUUAUUUCUACUGUUUUGAUACCGACAAUCUUGCAGCUAGUGCAAUUAUCAAUCAUAACACUAUUGCCUUCACAAGACUUAUAAGUAUCAAAUAAAGACCUGUUUGGAGACAUGUGAUAAGAACAACCAGAAUCUAAUAUCCAGUCACCAUAAGAGUCAGAAUCUGUUGUAACCAUCAAGACGUCCUGACUGGAAUCACUGGCUACGCUCGUCGUAUUUGCAGAGGAAUUCUGAUUUCGCAGCCAAGCCUUCCUCUUUUCGCAGUUCUUUUUCAUGUGGCCCUCUUUCUUACAGAAAUAACACUUCACUUUUUUCGAUUUUGACUUGGAACGGGAUCUUCCUUUACCUGCAUCACGGUCGCUAGAUUGUUCCCUUCCUCCACUUGUAUCAUUUACGACCAAACCUGCAUUGCUUUCUUCGGUACUCGCCUGCAACUUGAUCUCUUCAGAUAAAAGUGUCGUGUAACAUCUUCCAUCUUUAGAGUUUGCUUCCCGUACAGUAUGGUGGUCACCAAGUGAUUGUAGGACGACGGAAGUGAUGUAAGAAAAAUCAACGCCUUAUCGUCCUCGUCAAUCUUGACAUUAAUGCUGAGCAAAUCUGCAAUAAUCUUAUUAAAAGUGUUCAAGUGUUCCGUUAUUGCCGUACCUUCCUUCAUGCGUAGCCCAUAUAAUUUUUGCUUUAGGUACAGCACGUUCGAGAGGCUUUUUGUCAUGUACAGUUUCUCUAGCUUGUUCCACAUGCCGACUGUAGUUUCUUCAUCCAUGACGUUAUACAUCACAUCAUCUGCUAGACACAAUAUAAUUGUAUUUACUGCUCGCAGAUCAAUCUCCUCCCAAUCUUCAUCGCUCAUCGAUGUUGGCUUUUUCGAUUUUCUGAGCAACGCCUUAUGAAGGCUCUGUUGAACCAAAAAGGCUUUCACUCUUCUCUGCCAAAGACCAAAGUUUCCUUUACUGUCAAAUUUUUCCACCUCAAACUUAGAAGACGAGACCUUCGACAUCUCUGAUGUAGCGCAAACCUUAGGCUCUGACACCACUUAUUGGGAACUAGAUGAAUUGUCCGUCAUGCGCUACCAACAAAGAUGCACGAAAAAUAGAGAAAAUUGAACGAACGGUAAAAGAAAUAAAUGCAGAAAGAAAAAACCAAGAUUUACGUGGUUCAAAUGCAGAAAGAAGAAACCAAGAUUUACGUGGUUCGGCAAUUGCUUACGUCCACGGGGAGAGCGAGAGAGAUGUAUUCCACUAUAUAAAGCAAUCGAAAUACAAUCUUACACCUUAUGUCUUCUCUGAAUAAAAACCAAGAGUCUUAUGGUGAAUCUCACAUUUCUCUUGUUCCAACGAAAACUCCAAUAAAAUACCGAAAAAACUUUUCGUAAAAUCGAGAAGACCAAAUUAGAGAAGUAUAGAAAACUCUAACCAAAAUCCUUUAUGCCGUUGCUUCGAAGAAUCCGAACCGCUAAGGCAAUUUGGUCGAGAACCACCACUCCGCCGCCGACUUCAAUCCGUUGCAUGCGUGCGAAAGCCGCGCACCUUGAAGCACUACCGUACGGCUUCAAGAACUUAAUUAAUUAGCCUCUCUCUUUUUUUUGCUGUCGUACCGCCUCAAGAAGAAAAGAUCGGCCACCUUUUAAUUAAACUCUAAUUAAUUUUUGGCCACCACACAUUCAAGCCGUGCGGUCCACAUGCAUAUAUAUACAUGUAUGCAUUAGCUAAAUCCUACUCUAAUUCAAUGUAAUCAUUGAAUAUAAAGUCUUGUAUGGAAACCAAUCCUAGUCCACUUAGGUUCCAACUUAAAUUAGGAUCCACCAAUAAAAAAAAAAUCCUAAUGAGAUCCUUUCUAUUUUUCCAUAGACCCGGUGCAUGGACCAAACCAAUAAAAAAGAAGGCAUAUCUUUAACAUAAACUUGUGUAGAACAAGCCACCACUGGUUGUCCAGUUGGCAAAUGGCAAGUAUCGUAAUCCUCAAGAAUUAGGUGUUGACUCAAGUCCUGCUACAAGAAGGAACUCCAAUGCGUGUGUGAGCCUACUAGCUAGUUCAAAAGGAUAAGAAAAAGGAAAAAACUUGUUACUUUGAUUAUUUUAGUAGUUUUGGAUUGCUUUGGGCAUACUUUCCGCUAGAAGGUUGUGUGAGGAAUGUGGAAAACCAAAGGUAAGGAAAACAAACAAAGAGAAAGUGGCAAUUAAUUUUUUUUCCCUAGCCCUUAAACUAAUACUAUAAUUUACUGUUGGCUUUACAUAAUGUAAUAUACCGAAACCUCGGAAGAGAAUAUUGGACUUUAGCCAAAUUGACUAAAGCGUUCGACAGAAAAAGCUAGACAAAAUCGAAUUAACAUUCCAAUAAUGUUGGAAGGAUUAAAAAUGAGUUCUAAAAGAGUUAGAAAGGUUUUAGUAUCGAUUGGCGCGAAAUAGAAUCGAAAAGAUGCAAAACUGAAAUUCUGGGGGUUUGGUACCGAUACAACAUCGAGGUGGUACCGGUACCAUAUGUAAAAACCCGAGUAGCUGCUCUCGGGUUGGUCUCUGCGAGGUUGUGUAACCGGUGACAAAGGAGCCUGUACCGGUACCAAGUCUGCUUCGCAGCAGAAUUAGAUUUGCUGCAAAUAUGAGUUUUGAGAGGGUCUAAAUGCAAUUGUAGCAUCUUAUAAAAGCCUCCAACACUUCUCUCCUCUGGUCCACAGCAGCAAACACCUCUCUUCUUUCAUUUCUCUCUUUCUCUUUCUAGAAAUCUCUCCAAGGAGCUAAAGGGACGAGAAGAGAAGGCUUUGGAGGAGAUUUUGGAGGAUUUGGAGGCUUGGGAACUCUCCUACAAGGUGGACUUAGGAGAGCUUAGGGCAAAGGUGAGGUUUUCUUGUAAGAUCUAGGUUAGGGCUUGGAUUUUAUGCCCUAGAUUUUUGGAUUUGAGCUUCUUACAAGAGUAGAAACCUUCUAGAGGCUAUAGAACACAUGAAAAUAAGUUUUCUUCAUGUGCUCUCAUGGUGGCUCUCUAGGGCUUGGUUUGUAUGUCCUAGAAAUGGUUGGAAAGGCUUAGGAAAGGUUCUAAACGAGUUUCUAGAAGUUCAACAAGCUUGCUUUUGCUUGUUCUAGAGAUCAAACCCAAAUAUUUAACAAAUGACAUUGUUAGGGCAUCAAAAUUGGGGCUUAUGUCCUAGAGUGGUUUAAAGGCAAAUUGACCUUGUAGAAACCUAAUUGGGGAUAUAACGAACGCGUUGGUGCGCUCGGUUCGACAAUCCGACGAGUGUACGCUAAGAUAUUGACAAAACACCAUUUUUGGUACAGAUAGCCGCAGCACGCUGAAUAGGCGCCCAAAAAUUCUAAGAAUUGAACUGUAGCACCCUUGCAACCAUAUAAGGUGGGUGGUGCAUUCCAAAAACGUUGAAUUUCCUUUUAUGUCUAAAGUGUUAUUUUUGAGCAUAUGUGAAUGUUGAGCAUUGUGCAUAGUAGGGUUAAUUGAGAGCUUCUAGUUGCAUGUUAUGAGUAUAAAUGCAUGUAAAAUAAUGAUAAAAGAGCAAGAACUUGUAAACCUUAUGUAUGCAUGAUCAAUGACAAGAACCUAGUUGAGGUAGAAAACAAAAGUGACAUGUGGACAUAAAUGUAGAGAGUGGCAUUAAAGAGUCUUGAAUACUAGUGUUACAAUAGUGACAUUAAUGGGACAAGAUGCUAGAGUUGAACACUUAGAGAACAAGUGUGGUAUUAGUGAAUGAGUACAAAGAACAAGUUACUAUAUAUGACACUAGUGAAAGAUAAAGAAUGCAAGUAAAGAGAAAUAGUAACAUUGUGACAUAGAAACCUUAAAGUUAAGGGGUUACAUAAGCAUUGGAAUCCUUAAAGCUAAGGAUUGAUCAUACUCGCCGAUAGUCUUGGCUUGAGGGAGGUCGCUCCCCCUUGAGCGAUGAGCUCUGGAGUUGUCAUCACUGGGAAGGGGAAUCCCCAGAGGACGGUCCCAACGGGAGGAAACUGAGGGCCCGCUAUUUGGGAUUUGAGUUGGUGAGUUAUGGAACCCUACGGGAGGAAGCUGAGGGCCCAACUGGUUAGCCACAAGAUUGUGUAAAGAAAAUGUGAUCUUGCAUUCAUCAUGAGCAUUCAUUGAGCAUAUGAUUGAUUAUAUUUGUUCAGGCAUAUUAGCUGCAUUUGUUUAGUUAGUUACUAUCUAUUCUUUCUUCUAUUAUGCCUGAUUUAGACCUAGUGGGAAAGUCGGCGAGUUCGGCGGCAGAACCCACUGAGAACUUUGUUGUAGUUCUCACCCCACUAUUUCCACAGAGCCGGGACCGAGCGAGCCGGUGGACGAUCGCGGUAAGGGUAUCGCGCCGUAGAUUGUGACUUCCCUAGUCAGUUUUAUUUUGCUAGUUGCAUUAUCCCUUUAUAUCAUCUUUUGUAUUUUGAUGAUUAUAGAUGUUUAAAUGAACAUGAAUGAUGUAAAAGAAUUUAUGAUUUAAUGUAAAAGCUUAUCUUUUGGAGGAAGUACACCAUGUUCAUUUUGGCGAUUAUGUGUUGUAUAAAAGAAAUGGUGCAAAGAAUGUAAGAGAGUUAUAUUAAAGAUGUAUGCAUGUAUGUGAUUUAAAGUUAAUCAUGUUACUUGUACGUUGAUUAGUUAAUACUUUCACUUUGGCUAUUGCUUGUUCUCGUGCAAGACAUUAUGAAUGCUUCCGCAUGUGCAAAUUUUAUACUCCAUUUGUACUUGUUGUUGAGCCUUUGGCGGACAUGAGAGGUGCUGUCCGUUCGAUGUCUGUUCGACGUAUCCGAACCGACCAAAUAGGCCGGGCUCGGGGCGUGACACAUAGAUUGUAGUUUUUUUUUUGGGAUAGAUCCAACUCUUAUAACUAGUAAACAUCAAAAGGGAAGAAGUUCAAGUAUUUCCAUCGAACGGUGAAAUCAAUUUAUAAGAAAGUGAAAAUGUAUGGAACUUACCUCAACUAUUUUCUAUUUUGAUUUGACUACCAAUGUCACGCCUCGAGCCCGGUCCUAUUUGGCCGGUUCGAGCACGUCGAACAGACGCCGAACGGACAGAGCCUUCCCUGUCCGUCCAAGGCUAAACAACAAGUACAAAUAGAGUACAAAAUUUGCACAUGCGGAAGCAUAAUAAUGGCUUGCACGAGGGCAAGCAAUGGCCAAAGUGAAAGUACUAACUAAACAUCAUACAAGUAAUAUGAUUAAGUUUAAAUCACAUACAUGCGUUCAACUUUAAUAGAAUUCUUUUACAUUCUUUGCAUCAUUUUUUUUAUACAUCACAAUAUCCCCAAAAUAAACAAUGUAAUUCCGUCAAAAGACAAGCUUUUACAUUAAACCAUAAAUCCUUUUACAUCAUUCAUAUACUUUCAUUUAAACAUCUAUAAUCAUCAAGAUACAAAAGAUGGUAUAAAAGGGUAAUGCAACUAGCAAAAUAAAACUGACUAGGGAAGUCACUGUCUACGGGGCGAUACCCUUACCGCUAUCAUACGCCGGCUCGCUCGGUCCCGGCUUUGUGGAAAUUGUGGGGUGAGAACUACAACAAAGUUCCCAGUGGGUUCGGCAGCCGACCUCGCUGACUUUCCUACUAGGUCUAAAUUAGGCAUAAUAGAAGAAAAAAGAUAUAGAUAGUAACCAAACUAUACAAAUGCAGCUAAUAUAUCUGAACAAUAAUCAAUGCUAUGCUCAAUAAAAUGCUCAUGAUGAAUGCAAGAUCAUAAUUUCAUUGCCCAAUCUCUUGGCUAACCCGUAGGUUUCGCCCUCAAUAAACUCACCAAUCCAAAUCUCUACUAUCGGGGAGAAACUCCUACAACCCGACGGGACCGUCCUCUGGGAAGAAACUACUACGACCCAGUGAUGACUACUUCGGAGCUCAUCGCCCGAGGGGGAGCUACCGCCCUCCGAGCAAGGACUUAUAGGCGAGUAUGAUCCAAUCCUUAACUCUAAGGAUUCCAAUUUCAAUCCAUUCCUUAACUAUAAGGAUUCCAAUUUCAAUCCAUUCCUUAACUAUAAGGAAGCAAUGCUCAUAUGACCCUUAACUAUAAGGUUGUUAUGUCAUAAUGUCACUAUCUCUCUUUACUUGCAUUCUCUAACUUUCACUAGUGUCAUAUACACUACUUUGUUCUUUGUACUUGUUUACUAAUGCCACACUUGUUCUCUAAGUGUUCAACUCUAGCAUUCAAUGCAUUCACUAAUGUCGUUCUACUACGAGUCCAUCUCUAGUAUUCAUUGCAUUUGGAAAUGUCACACAAUCCAUAUGUCAUAAUGUCAUUUUGUUCUAUGCCUUUUCUAGGUUCUUGUCAUUACUCAUGCAUACAUAGAGUUACACAAGUUCCAACUCUUUUACAAUUAUUUCUCAUGCAUUUGUACUCACAACAUGCAAAUAGAAGCUCUCAAUUAAUCCUAUCAUGCACAAUGCUCAAUAUACAUUUUUGCUCAAAAAUGACACUUUAGACAUAAAAGAAAAUUCAACGUUUUCGGAAUGCACCACCCACCUUAGAUGGUUGUAAGGAUGCUACGGUUCAAUUCUUGGAAUUUUUGGGCGUCUAUUAUGCGUGCUGCGGCUAUCUGUACCAAAAAUGACGUUUUUGUCAAUAUGUGUGCGUACACUCGUUGGAUCACCGAACCGAGUUUAUAUUUUUGUUAAAAAUACCCCUAAUUAGGUUUCUACAAGGUCAAUUUGCCUUUAAACCACUCUAGGGCAAAAGCCCCAAUUUUGGUGCCCUAACAAUGCCAUUUGUCAAAUCUUUGAAUUUGAUCUCUAGAACAAGCAAAAGAAAGCUUGUUGAACCUCUAGGAACUCAUUUAGAACAUUUUCUAAGCCUUUCCAACCAUUUCUAGGGCAUACCACAUGAACCCUAGAAGUUCAUCAUGAGAGCACAUGAAGCUACCAUGGAUUUUCAUGGAGUUCAUGCCUCAAGAGUGUUUCUAGCUUUGCAAGACGACCAAAAUCUAAGGUUUUAGGGUAUAAAUCCAAACCUUAGAACCAUUCUUGCAAAAGAACUCACCUUAGCCCUAAGCUCUCCCAAGUCCACCUUGUAGGUGAGUUCCCAACCCUCCUAAUCCUCCAAAAUCUCCUCCAAAGCCUUCUCUUCUCCUUCCCUUUAGCUCCUUGGAGAGAUUUCUAGAGAGAGAAAGAGAGAAAUGAGAGAGGAGAGGUGUUUGGCUGUGAAAGAGAGAGGGGAGGGGUGUUUGGGGUGUUAUUAUGUUGUAACAUUUGCAACAAAACCCUCCCUUUUCUCUAAUUUGCAGCAGACCUAUUCUUGCUGCCAGACCCAGUUUGUACCGGUACAGGACAGGGUGUUACCGGUUACACGAUCGCACAGAGGCAAACCCGAGAGUAGCUUCUCUCGGUCUGCACUGUUGUACCGGUACAGGUACAAUGUUGUACCGGUACAAAAGCUCCAAACUUAUGUUUUUUGCAUCUUUUCGAUUCUAUUUCGCGCCGAUCGAUGCUAAAACCUUUCUAAUCCUUUUGGAACUUAUUUUUAACCCUUCCAACAUUGUUGGAAUGUUAAUUUGAUUUCGUCCAACUUUUUCUCUUGGAUGCUUUAGUCAAUUUUGUUAAAGUCCAAUAUUCUCUACCGAGUUUCGAUACGUUACAACCAAACAUUUUAAAAGUUUUGAUUUUGCUACCUAACCUUUCAAUUUAUUUUAUUUGAGUUAGUUAAUGACUCUUUUAACUUCAAAAUUUGAAUGCAUCGUUUAAUUUUACAAAUUUCAUGAGUAUACUUUAUGCUAUUCAUGUAGUUGUAAAUUUAUUAAAGUAAACAUAUAACUUAAAUUUUGUAUUGAAAGAGCCAUUAUAUGACUAAAAUCAAAAUAAAUUGAAAGGAUGGAUACUAAAAUCGAAAUUUUGAUAGGUUGAAUAAUAGAAUUAAAAUGACCUACAGUUUAGGCAAGUUCAAUACAUUUUUACCUUAUAAGAAUGGAGAAUCGAUGCAAUGAUGCUUGAAAUACUCUGCUAUAUGUUGAAUUUACCAUUAGUAAAAUUGAUCAAUUGAGGAUGUUUUUGUCUUGAAAUUUUGUAUCCGAAACAAUUGAUUUGUUUCUUUGAGCUUUUCUGCCUAAAGCUUUUAUUUUAUGGCUUCUGCUUCUGCUUUAACUUAAUUUCUGUGGAGACUAGCUAACACUUGCCUAUGAUUGGCUGCUAUCAUGCUAGCAGAAGACGGCCUAAGCUAUCAAAACUCUGAAACUAUUCAACCUUUGCCAAAUCUUUGAUACUAUCUUACUUUCAGAAUUGUUCUUGUUUUGCAUUUCGAAUCUUGAUUUGUAUAGACAAAAUCAUUGGAGAUUGGAGAAAUGAAAUUUAAGGUUCGAUGCAAUACCAAUGUGGCAUGACUUUUGGACAAGGACUACCAAGAUAGUUCAAUGUGUUGAAAUAAUCAUCUAAAAGCCCAUUAAGAUGGUGUUUCUUAAGACUUAAGAAAUAGUGAAAUUAAAAAAAAGAUCUGUCAUAGAAAUCCGUUCAUAGGAACAAUUAAAGUAAGAUUCUUUGCUUUGAUAUGAAUUAAACUGCAUCGCCUACUAGUGGUUAUUUUACAUUACACUUUACGACAAAAUCCCCGGUGCUCCAUUUAUUAGGAAAUAGUAUUUGUUGUUCUAGCUUUAUCUGAUUUCAGGCCGCUAUUUAAGCUGAAUCGUUGUAAUUUGGUUCCUUAGAUUUUUGAAUUUCGUUGUCUAAUAUUGGCCAUGGUCAUUGUCUUUAGUUUCCACUUUCAUGUUCUGUUUUCUUCUGACUCCUAUUAUGGAAGUUAAAUACAACACUGCAUAUUUGUUCUUAAGCAGUAAGUCUCUUGGGUAAAUCAAUGUGCUUAUAAAGCACCUCACUGGGCGGAGAAAUUAAUCUCUAUAACGCCCAUGCCAUGGUAGGAAGGUUGCACAAUCACAAUUAUCCACAUAGCACUAAAUCCACAGUUAGAUAUCUUCUUUGCCAUCAUUUUCUUCUUGAAAUUAUUAAAAUACCGUUGAUAUGACCUGAUUUAUCUGACAUGGCCUUGUGCUUCCCCACGUGGUGUGGACAUUAUAUAGGAGAUUUGUUUCAUUGAGUUUUGGUUGAUAUUGUAUCAUUAUUGUGGUAGUCGGUUCACUCUUUUCUUAUUCUUUCAUCAAAGUGUUUUUUCAUUCUUUCUUUGACUAAUUCAUGUUAAUAAUAGAUAAUUGGAGUGCGAAGGCAAUUAGGAGAAAGACAACAGGCACUGGUAGGAUGAGAUAUCUUCGUCACGUGCCUAGUAGGUUCAAGAGCAACUUCAGAGAAGGUAACUUUUAUUUCACCACACAUAUGGCAUUCUAAAUUUUUCCUACUCUUGUCUAAUGGCUAGCAUUAGGGAAAAUUAGGCAGAUGGCUUACCGUUUUCCUUUUAUCAUGUGAUUUUGUUUAUGAUAUGAUGACACCACAAUUGACUCUAGUAUUGCGUGACGGGUUUAAUGUCAAUUUUCUUUUAAAUUUUGAUUCCACGAGACAAAUUAUUUCUUUUCUACAUGUUUCAGGAAGUCAGGCGGUAGUAUCUAAGAAGGCUGGAAUUGCUGCAACCGCUUAGAGCAAAAACUGCCUGUUCACUUUAGGCCGGAAACUGUGAGAACCAUUUCGUUCUAUUUUGUUCUGAUUUUCUGCUGCUGUUCUAGUCAUGCACUCUUCUGUCGUUUGAGACAUGAAGAUACUAUUCAUUGCAUGCUUAAUUUGUUUGAAUUCUGAGACGAAGUUCGGCUUUUCUAGAGAUAUCGUAUUUGAAGUUUUGAGGUUAUCAACAUAUUUGUUUGAUGGCCUCUGUUUUUGUUUUUCUGUUUUUUCGGUAGUCUUGGGAAAUGUACUGUGAAAGCUCCCAGAGUAAAUUGCAUGAUACGAUUGGUUAUUGAUCUCGUUCAAAUUUCCUGUAGCUCAAGAUUGUGUUACAAUGGAUGCACGGAACCUAAUAAGUUCCUGUUUCGGGUAGUGUUGCUUUGUGGAACUCCAUUUUACUUCCUAACGAAGGUAACUUCCUAAUGUCUUCCUGAUUGGCGGGAUGGAUUAAUGGUUUAUUUUCGUUGCCCACUCUUCAAAUGUCAAAGAUAACCAGUUGAUUAAGAAUAGUCUCUGGUCUCCUAAGGUGCCAUGGGAGAUCAUUGAUAAUUCCAGUUGUCUUCAAAUUAGAUUUGAAAAGUUGUAAAAUGAACCCUGUGAGCCGUUUCAACUGUUCGUAGGGGGCCAUUUGGUUUCAUGUAAUUGUAAAUGCAACACACCCAAGGGUUUAAGUGCAUGUGUAUACCUGGUGUAUCCACAUUGGACUCGGUUGUAACCAAUCGUUUUGCAUUUGAUCUUAGCUUGGGAUCAACGAAUUCAAACUUAUCCCUCUUCAGGGAAUAGGGUAAGAUUGAAUAUAAAUAGGUUUAAAUUAAAAACUUAUCCUUUCGUUUGUUAUAUGUCAGUUUCCCCAAUUUGGAUUGAUAUUUUGAGAAAGAGGGAUAGAAAUUACAUUUCUCUCUUCCCGAUCAAAAUAAUAUAGACAAAUAAGCGGCUGUUUGGUUUAUCGGAAAAGUGUGAACAAAAAUUUUCAAAUAUUUUUUAUGAAGAACUUAUUUUUUAAAAAAAUAUAUCAUCUGUUUGAUUUCAGGGAAAAUAAACAAUUUUAGAAUUUUUUUUUCAUAUUUCACAAAAAAACUAGCAAUUUUGUUUUUCUACAUUUUUUUAAGAAAAACAAAAACAUUAGUUUUCUAUAAAAUAUGGAAAAAGGUUUUCUAUUGAAGCUUAUUUUCUUUAGAACUAGAUAGAUAGAAAAAUUGAGAAAAUGAUUUUUCAUGAAAAACUAUUUUUUCCUAUUUUCUUUUUUUCCACGUUUGAAAAACGAACAAACCACCCAUAUGAGAAUUUCCUCUACUUUCCUCCCUUUCCUCGAUCAAAUUUCUUUAUUCCUUUCAGAUUUUGACCCGUAGAUAUAGGAAAGACUCAGGUAGGCCCCUUGUGGGGAAUAGACGAGAUUCGUGGAAGAUUCAGAAGCAUCAAACGUAAGGACAAUUGAAGAAGGUUUGUCAUACAAGCAACCCAAUCUGAUUUCUAGAUGUGUUGUCUAUCCAGUUUGUAAAUAUCCUUCAUUUGCUUUCGUCUAACAACUGAUUUUAGAGCUGGAUUUAUUUGUUUUUGCCUUUUGAUCAUCAUGCUUGUGAUGUUACGAUAUGACAGCAUUCUUUGAUUAUACAUCUAUGGUUGUAGAUUAGUUCUAUAAGUUAUUUUUCUAGUUUUCGUUCUUUUUCUUGGUGAAUUUUUUCGAAAACCUGAAUAUGUCUUAGGUUUUAAUGCAUAUUAUUGAUUGUGAAACAUAUAUAUAUAUAUAUAUAUAUAUAGAGUCCGUCUCCCGUACUUUCGAAAGUAUGGGAGGCCCCGUGCUUGUAAGUUGUUUUCGAUGAUAGGACGUUCGAUUCGACGAUCGGCUCCGUUAGGUAUGAUCUACCCUAUUGGAACUAUCUAGAAACCAAAUUUUAGAUUUUUUUGACAUUAUUUACUAAGCGAUCAAAAGGUCUAAAAAAUGACUAUUUAACGGUCGAUGUGGCACAUUUUUAAGUUCAACGGUGUAGAAGUAUCCAAAUUACAUGAAAAUUUAAUAGAAAAUUCUACUUAACAUCAGUAGCAAGAUCAAUACUUCUGAUUUAAAAUUUGAAUCAUUUAUCACUGUUUUUUAUGAGAUUUUCAUUUUCAGCCGUUCAUUUUGAGGCUACUCAUUCACUAGACAAACGAAAUCAAAAAAUUAUGAAAUUUGGUUUCUGGAUAGUUCCAAUAGCGUAGAUCAAGUUUAACGGAACCGAUCGCCGAAUCGGAUGUUCCAUCAUCGAAAACAACUUACAACCACGGGGCCUCCCGUACUUUCGAAAGCAUAGGAGCCCAGCUCUCUCUCUCUCUCUCUAUAUAUAUAUAUAUAUAUAUAUAUAUAUGAGUACGUCUCCCGUGCUUUCGAAAGUACGGAGGCCUCCGUACUUGUAAGUUGUUUUCGUUGAUAGGACAUCCAAUUCGACGAUUGGCUCCGUUAGGUAUAAUUUAUGCUAUUGGAACUAUCUAGAAACCAAAUUUUAUAAUUUUUCGACAUCAUUUACCAAGCGAUCACAGGGUCUCAAAAAUGACUAUUUUAACGGCCGAUGUGAUACGUUUUUAAGUUCAACGGUGUAGAAGUAUCCAAAUUAUAUGAAACUUUAAUAGAAAAUUCUACUUAACAUCAAGAGCAAGAACAAUACUUCCGAUUUGAAAUUUGAGUCAUUUAUCACUAUUUUUUAUGAGAUUUUUAUUUUCAGCCGUUUAUUUUGAGGCUACUCGUUCACUAGGCAAACGAAAUCAAAAAAUUAUGAAAUUUGGUUUCUAAAUAGUUCUAAUAGCAUAGAUCAUGUUUAACGGAACCGAUUGCCGAAUCGGACGUCCCAUCAUUGGAAACAACCUACAAGUACGGAAGCCUUCGUACUUUCGAAAGCAUAGGAGCCUAGCUCUAUAUAUAUAUAUAUAUAUAUAUAUAUAUAUAUAUAUAGAGUUGAGCUAGAAUACUAUCGAUAGCAAACGGGCUCCGUUGCUACCCAUUUAUUUUCGAUGAUGGAGCCUCCAAAUCGACGAUCGGAACCGUUGAACAUGAUCUAUACCACUUGAUGUCACGCCCUGGGACCGGCAGAGGCCUUCCCGGUGGCGUAUCCAGAACCACCAUAUGUCUACACAUAUAAGGCGUCUACAAUAACAGCGGAAGUAAAGUAAGAAAACAAAAGUAUCUAACGAUAUCAGAGCAAGGUAAAUAACUAAGUUCUACACAGAGGGGUAAGUAUAAAACUGAAAUCCACUAAUAAAGUUAUAAAGUAGUACAAAGGGAAACCCAAAUACAAAAACUAAAUAUAAAGAGUAUGUAGGUGGUCUCUCCAUACAUGGUACUCAAAAUCUCUCUUUCUCUCUCUCAAAAACAAACAGAAAGAGUAAACCACUUAAGCUCACAAGUAGCUCCCAGCUAACUAGCUACGCGACUCCCUUGCCGCGAUCCCGUGCCUCCGCCGGUGCCGAAGGCUCUGAAAUAACAUCAAGGAAAAGAGGGCGUGAGAACUAUAAUUUAUAGUUUCCAGUGGGCAAUUACUGACCUCAGCUCAAUGCACCACUAGGCCCCAAAAGAAAAGGGUAAGUCCAAAAAGCAACAAUAAUAAUAAAUGGAUUGCAUUUAUGAAAGCAUGAUUAAAAUGCUAAACUACUAUGUCGCAAAUAAAUAUGAUGUCAAAUGUGUUGUACAUCUAUUUUAUCAAAAUGAAGUAUGUCCAGGCAUGACUAAUAUGUCCCAACAUAACGCGCAAGUAGGUAUCAUGAUCCACUAUAUAUAUAUCAAUGUAUGAUAAGUAUGCUCUAUCAUGGCAGCAAAAUAUGCUAUGAUGCAACAAAUAAGACUAUCAUAUAUACCACAAGUCCCAACACUAUGCUAUGAGCAUGUCAUGGUAAUCAAACUAUUAAGCCUAUCUAGUAGUGAUAGUCAUUUCCCGAUUCAAUGUCAUUGUUUCCAACAUGUUCUAGGACCUAUAUAGUGUUGUCCAGCUUGUGCCACCUAAGUGUCGGUGGUAGCUCCAGCAUUCCUACUCUAGGAAUGAGUCUAUCCCUCCCGACCGCGUAGGUUUCUCAAUACCGCACGAGCGAACAUAAGUCGCGUAGGCCAACUCUGGAGUGCCGGCUUGUAGGGAGCGACCCUCACAAGCAUGUGCGAAUGAGCACAAAUGGCAAGCAAGAGUAGUCAAUGUCUCAAAUACCCAAUCAUCAUGUCUCUAACAUGGUACAAGUCACUAGCACCUCGAAGCUCUGGUUCAAUGUCUCAAAGUGAUGUUCCAACACCCACUAUGCUUAGUGCCUCUUUAUAACACUUAAGCUUGUUAUAAGUUAACGCAUUUCAUAGUCUAUGCUCUAUUCAUGACAUUAGUACUAGGUUCUUAUUUAACCCAAGCUCAAUGCCUCUUUAUGACAUUAGCUCAAUUAUUCACAAGUAGCACAAGUUUUCGAGUCCCUUCAAGGCUUAUUAAGAUCCUUUAAGUCUCGAGUAGGAAUAGCUUUAAAUGCAUGAAAGUGAUAUUCAUUUUCACCAUAGGAAUUAUGAUUCCAAGUCUCAAUAGGAUGCCAAUCAUGUACAAGUCCCACAUGGUAGCUCUCUACUGUAUAGGGGUCCGAAAUUUCUUACACAUAAUAUAGCCAUGUUAAGCAUCCUAAAAUUCACAAUAAAUACAUUUAUCAUAGAAAUGCAUGAAUUUUACUCUAUGAAGUAUAAAACGUGGGAUAUGAGAAUUUCUCAUAUGCCAGGCUAGGUCAAACCCACCAAACCGUCUCGGAAGCCUUCGUUUUGCCGAACGGAGUUGUCCACCAGUCUCUAAGCACCCUAGAAGUAAGGAGCGAAGAGAUAAACAAACGUUACGAGCAACUCUAGGCUCAAAUAUUAACCACCACAAGCAAAUGGGCAAAACUCACAUAGGGAGUAGAAAAUCUCUCUUAAACUCCAAAAGAGAGCUAGAUCCCUUCCAAUCCGACCUAAAGGAAGAUUCUAAAUCAAGUAAUUGAGCCUCAAAAGCCCUAGAUCAAAAAGCCCUAAAAUCAACCCUAAAAUUCCAUCCUAGGGUUUCAUCUACCACAAAGUAACAAAACUCCAAUUUAGAGAGAGAGAAUGAGCUACUAACCUUUUAGAAGCCUCAAACAAGAUCCAAAGUCCUCCAAGUGUGGAGAUCUCCCUCCUCUCAAACUCCAAAUUCAAGAUCCAAGCCACCAAAAGGAAGAAGAGAGGGUGUGGGUGAAGAUCCAAGCCUCCAACAAGCUCUUUUCUUCUUCUUCUUCUCCUCCUUCUUCUUCUUCUCUCUCUAGGAGCAAGUGGGAUGGUGGAAUGAGGGAGAAGAGAAGGAGAAGUGGCCACAUAGGCCCUCUAGUGUAACAAAAUCCAACUAAGU